GGGCACUCUGGAGAUACGCUUCUAUUGGGCUGGGAAAGGAACCUAUGCUAUACCUGUCGGAGGAGUCUAUGGUCCUCUUGUAUCUGCCAUCUCCGUCUAUCCUGGUAUGCAGAUAGACACUUACAUGUUUCACUUGGUGCUUCUCUAUUGCGAAAGUUAUUCGUAUUCAUAUUAGGAAAACUACCCAUAUUUUGUCUGGAUUCAGUUACUUGAUUUGGUUGCAAAUGUCCUCUCUUAGAUACAGGGCAUCUGUUACAGUUGUUCAGAUAAAUUUCCAAUGUAGCUGGCUAGGAUUUAUCAUUCUUCUCUUAAGAGGCAAAAAUUGGCUAUGGUUUGUUUUGUUUUCUUUCUAUCUGAGCAUAUUUUUUCUGUGUGUAUCUUUAAUCCUUCUAUUCAGACUAUGAAACAACAGCCUCGUUCACUUUUCUAUUAUGGACCAAUGACCAUUGCGCCUGUAUUAUAUAGUACAGCCUUGAGAAUGAAGAAUAUAUUUCUAUUUCUUUUUCUUGUUCCCUUUGUAUUUAGUAUUAAAUGUUCCAAAGAUGAUAUCUUCCUGUGCUCAUUAAUCUGAUGGUUUUUGUGGAGUGUUCUGAGCAGUUCUCAUGUCCUCCUGAUUCUCAAUUAGUGCUGUCCCAUCUGUUGGUUUCAGUGUUCACCAAGAAGCUACCGAUAUAUUUCCGCACGUGUGCUUACCCCAUUUACUUGAACAGUUUUGGGUAAACAUAUGUUGUUCUAUUUUCACUGCAGAUUUUGAAAUCCCACGAGAGUCGGCCAUAAUAUCUGCUGGUACAGUGGUCGGGAUUGUGGCUGCUAUAGCUUUUGUAUUUUUUCUUAUCCUGGGCAUCCUUUGGUGGAGAGGAUGUCUUGGGCGUGAAGAUGAACUGGCAGAAGGUAGUUGCUUACCUAAAGUCUCUGACAUUUAGUUCACAUAAAUUGUCAAGAAAUAUGAGAAUGUUAUGCACUCUGAAUACAUUGUCCCCCUUCCCUAUUCUGGUGGGGGUGGGGGGUAAUCACAUUGCAUCUUUUAUAUAUCAGCUAGAUCACCCGGUUGUCCUGUCAAACUGUUGGUGCAUGACUCUUCUUCUUACCUUUUCUGGUGGGGGAACAGGUAAUCUCAAUGCAUCAUUAAUACUGCAACUAGGUUACACAGUUCCCCUGUAAAACUGUUGAUGCAUGACAUUUGUGUAUUCCAUCGGAGAUUUGAUUUGACGUAUAAAGAAAAUCAGUUAUUAUUAAGCCAUGAUACGGCUGAAGGGUCAUAGAUCCAUUUGGCUCACUAAAUUAAAUGGAAAUCCGAGAAAUGAAGGGAUAGAUAGUUUAUAGGAAGAGGACAGUAGAUUUCCUAUUGAGUGUGUGAGUGAGUGUGUGUGUAUGUGGGGUCUUCUUGGGGGCACGAUUGACCAUAUAUAUACUGAAUCUAUGUUUCAAGACAUUGAAAACAAAUGCCCGCUUCGCAUAUAUGAGACAUUGAAACAUACAACCCUGUGUUAUGUUUCCAAAGUGGGCUUUCUCUAUGAUUUUUCUUUUCCCCUACUACUAAGUACCCUGAAAACACUUUUUUUUUCUUUUUUAAGUACAUACUGAACCAAUACCAGAGUUUCCUAGAAAAUAAAUUUCAAGAUGCUAAGAUAUUCUGUGAUAAUAAUGUUUUUUGGUACAUCGAGAAGGAAUUGCUCCGUUUUUGUUAGAUGGUAGGUUACAUACUAUAGCUGUUGACUCCUCCAAAUUCUGAGAAGUUCCAAACCAUGGUGCAGAUUUGAAGGGUCUAGCAUUGCAAAUUGGUUCAUUUACCUUGCGACAGAUUAAAGUUGCCACAAACAAUUUUGAUGCUGCCAAUAAGAUUGGAGAAGGUGGUUUUGGUUCUGUGUACAAGGUAUACAGGAAAAUCAGUUAACCCAUUUCCCUCAAUUCCCAAUAGAAAAGCUGUGUAGAAAGCAACAUUCAAUGUAACUGAAUCUUCACAGCAUAAAUUUGAUGCGAAAGUGCAUAUGCAGGGUCUUCUGUCAGAUGGCACCACUAUAGCAGUGAAGCAGCUUUCAUCAAAAUCAAAGCAAGGAAAUCGUGAGUUUGUGACUGAGCUUGGGAUGAUUUCUGCUCUUCAACAUCCACAUCUUGUGAAACUAUAUGGAUGCUGCAUUGAAGGAAACCAACUUUUGCUGGUUUAUGAGUACAUGGAAAAUAACAGUCUUGCUCGCGCUUUAUUUGGUAAUUUGAUAUCACACCGUGCUUCUCUGGCUUUAGUUAAUGACAUGGGACUAAUGUAGCUUUGAUGUCUUCUGAUACAAUUAAAGGUCCUGAAGAAUUUCAGUUAAAGUUGGAUUGGUGGACAAGACACAAGAUAUGUGUGGGUAUUGCCAGGGGCUUGGCAUAUCUUCAUGAAGAAUCCAGGCUGAAGAUUGUGCAUAGAGACAUCAAAGCUACUAAUGUUUUACUAGAUAAGGAUCUCAACCCUAAAAUAUCAGAUUUUGGUUUAGCAAAGCUUGAUGAAGAGGACAACACACAUAUUAGCACCAAGAUUGCUGGAACUUAGUAAGUUUAUUGCUUUAUGUUCCUGUUAGCCUAAUUAGGAGUUGGUCAGCGACAACAUAAAAGAAUGGAGUAGAGAUAUUCCGUCUAAUUUAAGAAAAGUGAGUUGAAAGGAGCUUUGUGGUUGACUCACAUCAUCCCAAAGUAUGGUGCUCAACAAAUGGGGCUUAACCGCAAAGCUUUAUGCUUGUCCCACCCAAUCUUCAUGUUAAUUACGGAAAAAUUGUUAAUUAUGUCUCGUACUCUAACAUUAAGUAAAUAUCUAUGUAUGCUCCUUUGUAUGAAAAACACAGUUUUAGUAAAUAUAUCUCACAUGACAUUGACAUAGAUGUUGCACUUGCAAGUGAAUUUAAAAAUAAUUUUUUUGGUCAGAUUGCCUCUUUUCCAUGUCAUAAAGUCACAUAUGUAGCCUGAUAAUUAAAUAGAACAUCAAUGGUAUUUUUUUCUUUGAGAUAUCCUCGGUAAAUUCUAUCAAAAAAUUUUAGGAUGCACUUGUUUUUUUAUCUACUCUUGAGACCAUAGUGUCACAUUUAGGAACGUCUCUUUCUUUUGAAUUUUAGAAAUAUUAAGUAUGUUCUAUAUGAGACAAUUACCUUGUUGCAAACAUAAGCACUUUUCUUAUUGUGCAGCGGAUAUAUGGCACCGGAGUACGCAAUGCAUGGUUACCUCACUGACAAAGCUGACAUCUAUAGUUUUGGCGUCGUUGCUUUAGAAGUUGUUAGUGGCCGGAGCAACACUAGCUCCCAGAAAACUGAGGAAUGCUUUAAUCUACUUGAUUGGGUAAUCAACUCUAUAUUUCAAUUAUGAUCAUAUCCAUAUUUAAAUCUUUGCUUGUGACGGUGGAAAAUGGAUUACGAAAGUGUAAGCGUAGUGUGUAACUCCUCACAUGCACUUUUAAUGGUUGCAAAGGAGUGUUACGGUUACCAGCUAUUGAAACCUGCUCAACAAAUUAUCAUGCUGUUAAUUACAAUUUGUCAUUUCAAAUUAAUCCAGUUCUUCUAUUAUGUUGGUCUACACUGAAUUUUCAUGUAAAAUCUUUUUUUGGAUUGAAGAAAAUUCUAUUCCUUGAAAUUUGGCGUAGUUCAGUUUUAGUCUUUAUGUUUUUAUGCUUGACAUUCAUACUCCCUGAAGUUUCAUUAGCACCAAACAAGUCCUUCGACCACUAUGGAAUUUGGCAAUUACUGUCAAAUUAUAAAGUUUUCAGGACCAUGUCUUGACUAGAAUAUUCAUAUACUUUUAAUUGAGGCAUAACUUUUUUCACAUUCAUCUAAUUGAGUCAUUCAGUUAGAUUUUGUUUUGCUUUGAUUGAGCAAUCAUUAGAAAAAAUAAUCAUUGUAAAAUAACCUUGAGGAAAACGUUUUCUGAAAUUUUCCGGUGGUCAUUUCACGAAAAAUGAACUAGUCAGAAAAAAUAUUUUUCAUCAACAGAAAAAAAGUCUUCUAAAAUAGGUGAAAUUAUUUUCCUAUUGAGAAAGAGGAAAAUAUUUUCCGUUUCUUCUUUCACCUCGCUAUUUUUCACCAAAUACCUUUUCCUUUUAUUUUGCUUUGUGUAAGCAAUCAUUUUUAGUCCUCGUGAAAUCUGAUUGUCGCCCAGGUUGCAUAAUCAGGUAUUUCUUGCUAAACUAGAAUCGAGAGUAGAAGGCAAUGGAUGGUGUAAAACAUUGAAGCACGAGUCUACCAUUUCAUGUAAUGACCCCGACAAAUAAUUCGUGCUGAUAAAACUCGACAAGAGCUGGGGAUUUCUUUCAUUUAUACCCUAUAACAAAGAUGAAAAACUAGCAGGUGCUUAUCAAUUGCAUUUGUCACGUAAUAAUCAAGGGACAUAAUAUACUUCUUCUUGUUUUAGUAUUUAGAGCAUAUUUUGCAACUGAUCAGUACCUGAAGCUUGAGAGGGAAAUAUCUUCACUUUUUAUUUCUGUUUCUAGGCACGCUUUCUGAAGGAGAGAGGAAAUUUGAUUGAACUAGUUGAUUGGAGGCUUGGUUCUCACUUUGACAAAGAGGAGGCGCUGGCAUUAAUAAAGGUAGCUCUGAUGUGUACUAAUGCGACUCCAGCACUCAGGCCUCCAAUGUCGUCUGUGGUUAGCAUGCUUGAAGGCAAGGUUGCCGUUCCAGUGCUGGACUCUGAGGGCACUAUCAUGACAGAGGAGAAAAUUGAGGCCAUGAGGAAGCAUUUUAGAGGUGGCGAACAUCAGGCAGUUAUUGAGAAUAUCACCAAGAGCAUGUCCACUGAUGGGCCAUGGACUGGAACCGCUUCGUCUGCAUCUGGUAACGAUCUCUAUCCAAUACUUCUGGAUACUGACUACUGGCAGAAGAGAGAGUAAGAAAUGGUUUGUUGCGUUCUAAGUAAAUUAGUUCUUGAAAGAACUGGGGCUUUAUUUGGUAAUCCUCGCACCGGAACUCUUAAAUUUUGCUUCGAAGUUUCUCUUUCGCUCACGUUUGGAACAGAAGGUACAGAUAAUAUAAAGAAAACAGCGACUGUUAUGCAAUGCACUAAUUGUGUGUUGUGAAUUAGUUAUUGGGGAAAGGCAGAAGACAAUUGCUUGUGGUUUGGUGGUUGUAUUUGUACUAUUUCUUUCGAUGUUUUUAUUCAAACAGAUGAUGUUGCUACUUUUCCUCUUCAAUCAAUAGCGAUGUGGAUGGUUGUUGCUGCAAGGGUGGCAAUCUAUUAUGGAAGCUUAUCUUUGUUUGAAUGGCGAGACGAGCAAAGUAGCGCAUUCUUGCUCUGGGUGUGUUUUGUUCCCGAGCUCGACCUGUUAUAUUGGUACCCAAGAAUUAUUCUAAGAAAAUGUGACUUUUUUUUCUCCCUUCGGUGUGGAUGAUGCGUCGCCCACUUCAUCUGUCCCAUCUUUGAGAAGUGAUGAAAGGGGCAGGUUCUCUAAUGAAUACCAACGACUAAUUUUGCAAAGGAAAAGCAUUGAAUGGUUUAAGUCUUUUUUUAAUUAGGAUAUAGGAUGGAAAGGAGCUAAUAUCAAGAAAUUGGCAAACUAUAGAAAUGGUUUUUCUUGACCUAAUGUGUUCACAUUGUCUUUUAUCUGCAUUUGUUUCAUUGGAUGAUGACAUGGGCAUUUAAUAUCAAAAUAAAGCUAGAAAAUAUCGGACCAGAAACAUGUAAAUUGAAUUGGGAUAUUAUAAAGGCAUAGAGAAUUUACAUAAGCGUGGUUAUUGUUAGGCCGAAGAAAAUAUUGGUUUCAAAAUUUAAGAUGAGUUAUUAGACUCUUUGGCUCAUAUUCAUUUGAUAAAAAUCAUAUCUUUCCUUCUUAAUGUGAAAUUUUUCCCCCAUCUUACUCAUUCGAUAAUUGGAUGAAGAUCCUUGGGUCAAUUCACACAUAUUCGCAUCGGCGUUUGAAUCAAUUAUAAUCCGUGUUAACACAAGUAGUAAUAUAUUUGCAGUUGGAAUGGGAAGGACAUUCAUGAAAGUACUGCGUAGGCACGAAAGACCGACAUCAUUUCUUAACAUGUUGAAACAUUCCAUCCAUGGGGGAAGUUUCCUAUCAAACAAAAAAUAAUUUAAAUAAAAAAAUGCAUUUGACCAUGGUAGGAUAGUUUGCUAAUAAGCUAGCUACCCUUUUUCUUUGUCAGGCAGAUAGACUAGGUCCGACUUUUAACGAGUUGAUUUUUCUUUGUUUGACCUUGCUAAUCAUUAAUUUGAACCUCCAAAAAAUAAUAAGAGGUAUUUGAGAUUGGCUUGAAUCUUGGUCGAGGGGCUGUGCCUUUUAGCCAAUUUUAGAUUUGAAAUCUUGAUUUUUUUUAGCUAAAAUUUAGUAAUGUAAAGUUUGAAACAAAAUAAAUGAAAGUUAACAAACCCACCCUUCAUUUAGGUAUAAUUCAAAAAAAAAAAAUCAGUUUUCAAUUUUGUUGUAAAAUGAGAUCAACCUGUUAAAGACAUUAUUUUUUCUUGAUCGGAUUAUUGAUAAACUAUUAAUUUCGUUAUGAAGCAGGAAAACUAUCAUUUUCUUUUUGCAAAAUUAGUUCAUUUUUUAAUGGAUCCAUAAGAAAUCCCUUCUAUUUCAUUAUAUAUAUUUUUAAUUUAACUGUAUAUAUAACGAUUCAUCUUUCAUUUUGUAUUUUAUCUAACCAAUUUGUACUUAAAUCAAUUUACUUUAUUAUUUUUAAAUAUAGUAUGAAACUAAAUAUCUACUGCUACUAUCAAAUUUAUUGGAUGAUUUUCAAUUUUCAUUUUCGAUUUUUUUCUUUUCUUGAAUACAUUUUUAAUUCGAAAAACCAAAAACAUUCAAUAAAGAAUGGGAAUUUUGAAAACACGUUUGGCAUGUCUUUGAAAUCCAUCCUUUUCGAAUAUUAAGACAUCCGGUUGAUAUCAAUGGCUUGGAAAGCUUUCGAUCAAUGAUGUCCAGAAUAUGCAGCAGAACUGCCAAACAACAUCAGAUUAGGUUUAAGCAAGCGACAACUUCAAUGCAUUCAGAACCACGAGUUCUACGGGUGGCGCCCGGCCAGUUGUCGUGAAUUGUGAUUAACUACAACAUUGAACCGUGGCCUUGCAUGAAACAAUCUUCAAUCAUUCUAUCAAUGGUCCAUCCUCGUGAAGAGGAACUAGGAAACAACAUUGACGCUUGUCUUCGACUAUUGAUAGAGGAGAAUGAAGUUACCGUGGGGAGGGGUUGAUGUGUCUGAUGACUUCACGAAACGAAGUGCCAGACGUCGAGAAACUCUUCUUUGUAAGAUUAAUGAUUUUCCCACUUAUGCUAAUUUAUCUGGCUGGAGUACGAAGGGAUGCACUGCAUAUCCUUCUUGUUCUAGUUUGACCAACUCAAAAUGGUUAAGUCAUGAAGGAAAGUUUUCCUAUAUGGCAUACAGGCGAUGAGAAGCAACCUUGAUUCUUAGUCAUAUGUUUUAAAAAUAAAAAAAUCCUCCCAUAUUCUUCGCCAUUUUGGUUCACUUGAUCAUUCACUUAGUAGAUGAAGCAAGCUUGGUCUCAAUGCAAUUUAUAUACAUGAAUCCUAUUGAAAGGUAAUCAUUCUCUCAAUUUAGUAGUCUUUUCAUACCUCUUAUACAUGGAUACUAAUUGAAGCUAUAUGUUAUAGGUUGUUAAUAGGGUUAAAAUCCGAUGUUCAUGACAAAUAUCAUGCAAAGGGAUGAGGGUUACGUUGUGAUAGUGUUUGACCUUUUUCUCAAGACAUAUUGAUCACAAAGAUAUAUUGGACGAUCAACUGACACGAUAAACUCACAUGUCUUAUAACGUCACAUGGACGUUUGUUGAGGAGCAUCCCAAAGGAAUACUGGGACAAUGUAAACCCCGACAUGCUUGGCACAUUUAACAAAUUGCCCCUUGUUACUCUGGGUCGAUUGUUAGACGUCCCAAAUAGGCUCGAAAAUUGUCCCAAUCCACAUGGUUCUCUCGUAGUCAAGAAAAUACUUCAAGGUAAGCCACGAGAUAACACGCUGAGAAUUCAUCGUCCUAAGUCAACUUGAAAUUUUCAAAGCUCUCUAAAUUCGCGCGUUAAAUAUAAUUGCAUUCUGGAAAAGAUUAAAAUACCCUCGAUGACUUGACAUUAAUUUGAUUAGACGUGCCUGCAACCAUUAUUAUUUGGUCUGAGUCUGAACUUUAUUUCACGUACCGUGGUUUUUUCUGCGUUGGUUUUUGCGUUCAUAACAUGGGACGGAGACAAAAGAGGCCUGUUAGGCCAAGGCAAGAGUAGUGUCUGCAGUCAAAGUACAAAACCGACGUCGCGUUGGCUUCAAAUUCGACCAAAUCUAGAACAUGCUCCGUCGACGACUCCAUGACUCGUAUGUGAUUGGAAAAUUUCAGCCUUUUUCGACAAUAACCAUGUAAACAGUUAAAAGUUUCUUCACAUCUCUAGCUAAUACACAUAACUCGACUUUUUUAUAAAUAAAAAAAUUAUAAGCACUUGAAACUUUCAUUUGUCACAACUUUUAAUAAUUUUUCGAAUAUUUGGGUUUAAAAAUCAUUAGACUUCUUAGAAGCCAAAGCCAAGAAAGUCGAGCAUUUGGGUUUAAAAGUCAUUAGACUUCUUAGAAGCCAAAGCCAAGAAAGUCGAGCAUGGACACAUGCGUCUCCACACGUGUAUAAUCUAAAUAUAAGCAACUCAAGAAUGAGCGUUGCAUAGUUGACUUGGAUAAAUCUAUUUCGAAUAAUUCCAUGUUGAAUGGGCAAAACACUUGUCAACAUCGAUAGAAGUUAGAUAUGCUAAUGUACAAGCACCCAUUAAUGUAUGGAAUAGACUACGGUGCCAAAUAUUUCAAUUUCCACAACUGUACAAUUCAGUUAUUGUCCUAAAAAUUCCUAAGAUAUUAUUAUUCCAUCCAUAGACAUUUGAUUCCAAACUCGACAUUUAUGUUUUUUUUUCUUUGGUAACCACUUUGAUAAGACAACGUUCUCUAUUAUUUAUAUUCAACAUGAGUCAGGGUCGAAAAAUUGGACUAAAUCAAUUUGUAGGGCUUGCAAAGUGUUUCAUUGGUCUCAAUAAUCGAGUCUACACGGUGAUAUCUCCGAAAAACGGUAACUUGUUACAAUUGAAGUAAAAAGAAAGAGGAGAUAUAAGAUUUGUCCGGAAAAAAAGUGAAUCUACUUAAUAUCCAAACAGCUUAAUGAGCUAAUGAAGUUUCUAAGAAUGGUGGAAUUUGGACUCCACCAUCGAUAAACUGUAUACAACCUAAAUCUGAGACAUGAUCAUGGCAAACUCAUAGCAAUGGAAAAGGCAAUUGUCAUUGGAAGAAAAAAAUUACACAAGAAGAGUUGGACAAAGCUUUUCUAUUCCAUUCUAGAUGGAAUAUCCCUAUAGUCGAGGAAGACUUGGAGUUGUUUCUCUCUUGCUUUCACACAUCACUCUCGCGCUCUCCCAUGCAAAAGUACAAGAGCGAAAAGUCUCUGUGCGCUAUCCCUAUCUUCGCACAUAAAUACAUGAAGCUAAGAGCACUCGCUUAACAAUCAUCUCUCUUUUGGCCAAGUUUUCUUUACCAAACUCCUGUUAAAGAGCGUUGAGAACCCUCUCUCUCUCUCUCUCUCUCUCUCUCUCUCUCUCUGGGUUGAGCUCGAGAUUGAAAUGAUGACGAUUCUCUUCUCAGCUCGAUCUCUCUUCUUUGUGCUCGUCCUUCUCAGCGCUACUUACUUAGCUGCUGCCACCGCCACUCUUCUGCCUGACGACGAAGGUGAGGGGGAAAAAAAGAAAAGAAACCCACUGAUCUUGUAUUGCUUUCGUCGUAAUGUUCUUUUUCCUUCUUCUGUUUUUGGCUGGCACGUACACCAAGUUGUAUUUGUUUGUGCUUCCUUUCACAGGUAAAGAAAGAUGCUAUACAUAUAUUCACAGUACAUGCGAAUUUGACGUCGCUUGUGCUUUUCCUACAUGAGAUAUGGCUGUUCCUUUGACUCGUCGGCUUUCUCUUUCAGUGGAUGCGUUGAAAGAAAUAGCAGCAGCCCUAGGGAAAACGGACUGGAAUUUCAGUGUGGAUCCAUGCAGUAAAGAGGGUCGAUGGAGUGACAACUUACCGCUCGAAGACACUCUUAGCCACGUCGACUGCGGCAACAAUUUCACCGACGCCAAUAACAAGACGGUUAGCCAUGUCACCUGGAUGUAACUCUCUCUCUCUCUCUCUCUCUCUCUCUCUCUCUCUCUCUCUCUUAAAUAAAUAAGCAACCUCAAUUUUUUUUUUCGGUCGAACAAGUUCAUGUAUCAACUAACUGACGUGGUGAAUUGUUUUAUUAUUAUACAAAAAAAAAGGAUAAUAUCCUAAAAAAUCCCAAACUGGUACACUUGCAACAAAUUUACCUCAAACUAUUUUUUUGACCACAAAAAACCCCAAAUUGAUAUACUUUUGACAAAUUUAUCCCAAACUGAUAUACUUGUGACAAAUUUACCCUCUGUUAAUUUUCGUUAAAUUUUACUAUGAUAGUUAACUGGUAUAUUAAUUUGGGAUUUUACGUUUUAUUUGUCACAGUUUACAAUUCUUGUGAUUUUUUGUGGUAUUAAUCUAAUUUAGCGAAUGGUAUAUUUGUCACAAAUUUACCAGUUUGGGGGUUUUUUGCGGUCGUAUAAUUAAUUUGGAGUAAAUUUGUCAUAAAUGUACAAGUUUAUAGUUUUUUAUGGUUAGUCGGGGUAAAUUUGUUACAAAUAUACCAGUUUGGGAUUUUUCAUGGUCAAAAAAAUAAUUUGAGAGCAAAUUUGUCGCAUGUGUAUCAGUUUGGGGUUUUUCAAGAUAUUAACCAAAAAAAAAAAAAUGGCCGAUUUUUGAAGAGAAACUUAUCAAAAAAGUUCUAAACCUAUUGCAACUUUUUUUAGUUAGUCUUAAACCCGUUUUUUUUUUUUUGUCAAUUCAGUCCUAAACCUUUUGCAAUUGCACUAAUUCAGUCCAUUCGAUUAAUUUUGGUUGGUCGAUGAUGACAUGGACGCCGGCCGACCGACACUAACGUGGCUAUUUAUUAAUAAUAUUUUAUUCUUCGAAUUUUUUGUUUCUUUUUUCUGUUUUCUUUUCUUUUAUUUUCUUCCUACUUUUCUUAGGCCCCAUUUGGUUCGGCAUUUGGAAGGGCCUUUUGGGCUCUAAGGGGGUUUGGCCAAAUAUAAACACGUUUGGUUCAACUUUUUAGAUGACUUUGGCAAGAUGCAAUUGCAUCUCCAAAUGACUCUAAGGGCCUUUAGCCCAAAGUAGUUCCGGAGGUAUUUUGGGAAAUUGCAUCUUUGGAAUGCAAGUCCCACGAUACUGUUCAUCUUCUUCGGAGAAACAAACGGAGGCCGACGAUUGCCGGCCAAGGAGUUGCCCGCAUUGGUGUCUGCCACCUGAGGCGUUGCUCGACCCCAAAGACCGCUCCCUAGGGGUUGCGGCCACCUGAUGACCGCCAUCUAAGGUCGUGCGACCUCAGGCAUCGCUUGGGUCGUGCGACCCAAGCAUUGGCUGAGGUCCAGCCACCUUAGGCAGUUGUCGCCUAGGUUCGCGAGACCUAGGCGACAGUGGCUUAAGGCCGCCAGACCUCAGGCAACACCUAGGUUUGUGCGACCCAAGCGACAGCCGCACAACCCAGGCAACGGUGCCUGGGGUUCGCGACCAGGCGACCGUUGCCUGGGUCACGCAUCGUUGCCUGGGGUUCGCGACCUAGGCGUCGCCUGAGGUUCGGUAGCAACAGGCGACCGUCGUCUAGGUCGCGCAAACCCAGGCAACCACCGCUUGAGGUUGCCAACACAAACGGCCAGUUGGGUUGCGACCCCAGGUGUUGCCUGAGAUCCAGUGACCUUAGGCAAGGCUAUCCAGCGGCCAAAUCUGGCCGCCGAUGACCGAAUUAAAAAAAAAAAAGAACUUUUUUUUUAUAUAUAUAAAACUUAGCAAAAAUCAUUUACAAAAUGUAGUUUUUACCAAAUGGCAUUUACACUAAAGUCGUUUCGCAAUGCACUUUAAAAUUACAAUUUACCAAAUGCUAUUUGCAUUUUCACAAACCCCUUUAGCUCAAAGGUAUUUGCAUUUUCCUAAUAACAUUUGCCCAAAGUCGAACCAAAUGGGGCAUAUUAUUUUCCCUCAUAGUAGCCAGUGAGGCUCUAGCGAGGCUCACCGAUGACUAGCAACUCUCGCCUGGCUUCGCCCAUAUUUGGAAGAGGCCUCGGAGCCGCGAGCAAGGUGGCUUCACCCAAAUCUAGGCAAGGCCCCCUUUGCCCACAUCGAGGCUAGGCAAAGGCCAUUGAUUGUCGGUGAAGGCUUCAUAGCCCUCACCUAGUGGUUGGUGAGGACUAGUAAGCCACUAUGGGAGGAGAGAAGAAGAAAAUGAAAAAGAAAAGAAAAAAAAAGAAAAUAAUAAUUAAAAAAUUGGAAAAAAAUUAAUAAUAAAUUGCCACAUCAGUGAUGGCCAACUGGCCAGCACUGAGAUGUUAGCGUGACCUGCCAAAAUUGGUUGGAUGAACUGAAUUGGUACAAUUGCAAAAUGUUUAAAACCGAAUUGGCCAAAAAAAAAGAUUUAUGAUUGAUUUGAAAAAAAAAAUUGCAAUAGGUUUAAGACUUUUUUGAUAAUUUUCCUGAUUUUUGGGUCAAGUGUAUUGAGCACAAAAAAAAAAUGNNNNNNNNNNNNNNNNNNNNNNNNNNNNNNNNNNNNNNNNNNNNNNNNNNNNNNNNNNNNNNNNNNNNNNNNNNNNNNNNNNNNNNNNNNNNNNNNNNNNNNNNNNNNNNNNNNNNNNNNNNNNNNNNNNNNNNNNNNNNNNNNNNNNNNNNNNNNNNNNNNNNNNNNNNNNNNNNNNNNNNNNNNNNNNNNNNNNNNNNNNNNNNNNNNNNNNNNNNNNNNNNNNNNNNNNNNNNNNNNNNNNNNNNNNNNNNNNNNNNNNNNNNNNNNNNNNNNNNNNNNNNNNNNNNNNNNNNNNNNNNNNNNNNNNNNNNNNNNNNNNNNNNNNNNNNNNNNNNNNNNNNNNNNNNNNNNNNNNNNNNNNNAGUAAAUCUCUGUGAGUGAAAAUACCAUUUUCCGUUUCGCAUGCAGAAACAUAACAAAGGAAGGGGAAGAAAAGGAGUAAAAGAGAUGUCGUUUUAUGUGAUCGACUUCUUGUCAAACUUUCGAUUCAACAAUGAUUUACCUGUAAAGAAAACGGUGGUAGUUUUGUUAGGCUAAUUCCCUGCUUGAGUUUCGUCAAACUUGAACAUGGUCACCGAGUUUUCACUGUCUUUGUUUUACCGUGAUUAAGGCCUUCUUCACCGCUUAUGCUGCAUAUUAUCAUUUUUAAGAAGUUAUCAACCUAUGCAACUCCGUUUCAACCAUAUACUAAAAGAAAUCUUAUUAAACAAAUGAAAUUCAUGACACGUCCGGUUUCAUUUCUUCGAACCGAUCGAGAGGCCAUGGCCAAGCUCGAUGAAGAAGAUGGACAAUAAACCUAAUCCCAUUCAAGUGAUGUAAGCUUGACGAAGAAGAUGAACAAUAAAAUUUUCUUAUCUCUCUUUUUUUAAAAAAAUUAUACCCAAUUUUGCUUUUUUUAAUAUAAAAACUCAAUUUUUUUCAUAGUGUAGUGCUUGAUGGGCACCACAUUGGAGCCAUGUGUCUCAAGAAAGUAAUAAAAAAAAGCACGUAAGCUUUUUCUUUAGCCAAAUGGGACUAUAAAGUAGGAACUUGAUUUCCCCAUUUUGAUAAAUUUUAACACUUGUGAUACACUUAUUCCAAUUUCACAUUCGUCAUUUUUCACUAAAAUUGAAUUUGUUAUGGGCUAUCAUUUGUCCAUAAAUUGACACGAUUGUUCGGUUAUUUUCUUUUAAGCAAACAUAAUCACUUAUGUAAUGUUAACUCUAAUCUUGUAUUUUGCCUCAUGUUGUGUUAAAUGAGAUCGAAGUAAUUUUACUCUCUGCAUUAUAGUAUCGAUUCAUGUUAAUAAUUUAUAGAUUAAUUCUAAAUCACUUAACAUAUUGUGCAUAGUAUGGUCGACUCUAUUUUUAAACAAUUUCGAUAUAUUGUUUCGCAUCAAUCUAUUUUGCAUGUUAUUGAAAGGGAAAAAGUCAAUUUUUCUCUUUACAAUAUACAUAUAUGUGUUUAUGAUUUUUUUCUCUCCACUACAUAAUAUUUAAUUUACUACUUAUUACUUGAGAUAUUAUUUGAUAGUGUAGUAUUUAUAGCCUUGUUAAUUUUUCUCUCUUAAAGUUUCGUUGAAACAAUAAGAGACUUCUCUAUUAAUUACCAUUUACAUUGAACUCAUUAUGUAAAUAUUAACUUUACCAAUGGUUGUACAGAUAAAAGUACAAAAUCAUCACAGACAGAUAUUUCUAAUAGAGAUUCAGUCUACAACAUGGUUAUUUGCAUCGAAUUCACUACAUGUAUAAAGAAUUUAUAAUGCAUUAAGUAUAUGCAUUUAAAUUAGCAUUCAAGAGAUCUUCGUCAAAAUUUACUUUUUUGAAAAAAAAAAAAAAAGCAAAGACUUUUGUUUGGAAAAGAAUCCUCUCAUGUAAAUUUAACGCAGCUAGCUUUUAUUAUAAAACAAAUAGAUUCUUCGUCGAUGCCCAAAUUUGUUGAGGGCUACAAGUAUCAUAUACACUCAAUUAUCUAUCUAGAAAAUAAAAUAUAAAUGAAAAAAAAUAUAAUCAUUAGUUACUUUCUUUUCUCGAAAAUUGGACGAUGUUCAAAAAUGUGAUUUGAGAAACUUAAAUGUAAGAGAAAGUAAUACAAUUCUUUCCUAUUGCUUUUUUGAUCAAACUACUAAUCAUUUCUUUUUCAUAUUUAGAUAUUAAACAAAUCAUAAAAAAAUGUUUAAGAUCGGCAUACAACCUAAGGACCUCUAGACUUAGGCACUGUUUGGUAACCAUCCAAACAGUGCCUGAUUCUGAUUUUUUUGUUCUCAUAAUUAAUUUGGGAACAAAAUUGUGUUUGGUAAAAUUUUUGUUACCGGGAACAGUUUUGGACAAAAAUUGAAAAAAAAAAUAUAUAUAUGAUUCUCAGUCUGGGAAUCAAAACAGUGACAGUCUUCUUCUUCCCUUCCGCCAUCCCGUGACCGCCGUCCACCACCGCCUGCCGCCGUUCGCCGUCGGUCGCAGUCUGCCGGUUUGGCGAGCUUGCCGAAGGCAAGCCCAGCCAUCGGCGAGGCUCAGCCUUGCCAGAUCUGGCAAGGCCAGGCCUCGCGACGCUCAGCCCUGUCGGUGGCCAGGCGGGCCUCGCUCAGCCCUGGCGAGGCUCGCCUGGCCACCGGUGAGGCUCGCCCAGCCCCGUCGAUGGCUAGGCAAGCCUCACCCAGCCUCGACGAGGCCGGCCUGGCCAUUGGCAAGGCUCGGCCGACGAGGACCGGCCUCGUUGAGGGCCGACGAUGCUCCAAUGAGGUUGCCAGCCCUCGUCUGGCUGGUUGUCGGUCUGGCAACUGGCCACAAGAAGAAGAAGAAGAAUAGGAGAAAAAGGAAAAAAAGAAAAGAAAAAAAGGGAAAAAAGUAAACAAUUUAUUUAAAAAUUAAAAGAAAUUGAUUUGAAACAGAAUCAAUGAGCAUUGUAUCAAACACAAUUAUAUUCCAGAAUCAGAAAUUUUGGACAAUUAUCAAAUGCAUUCUUUUACUUAGAAUCAGUUCCCGGGAACAGAAUAAAAAAUAAUCAUUUCUGGUCAAAAUUUGUUCUCAGGAACAGAAUCGUUACUAAACACACCCUUAGAAUCUCAAUGCCCAAACCUUGGCCCAUGGGAGGGGAGCGCAAAAGCCUAAGGGCAAGCACUUGGGUUGCAAAUCCUACUCUUCUGGUCUUUGGUUGGAGAACUUGGGUCUUGGCUAUAGGCAUUGAGAUCCUGAGUUCAACCUCCAAACAUAGGUUCGGGCUUCUAGGCCUAGAUUUGGCAUGCUUUUUCUUUUUUCUUUUAAAAAAGAAGAAGUCCUAUUUAUGAUAGAGUGAGAGCACGCGAUUGUGAUAAUGGCAUAUUGAUUUAAUUCACUUUUUGAGUUAGAAUUUCGUCCAUCUUUAUGUUAUACGAAUCUAAUGGACGAAACACCUUAUGUAGAUGUUGACUAAUCCUAGGACUUCGUUGGGUUAUAAUCUACACUACGGAGAAGAGAAACUCUAAUGUGGGACAAAAUUCUCACAUUUGAAGAAGUUAACUGAGUAGUCAGGUACUUAAUUAGGAUGUAAAAGAUAUUCUAUUUAAAUCACAAUUAAUCCUUUGCAGAAUAACUUUGGAGGCUAGUUGGUCACUCUAUGGUUUAUAUGAUACUUAGUUGAGCAAAAUAUUUGAAACACUCCAUAUGAAAAGAAAAGAUAAGAAUUUAAUGCCAAAGCCCCCAAUGACGAAGGCCAACCUAUUUCAUGAGUUAAGCUUCAAUAACGUGGUCCUUUUGAGAGAAAAAAUGGUUUAGGAUAUUGCUGUAUGGUGGUCCUUAGCAAGACUCUAAAAGGCUAUGACCACCAAUNNNNNNNNNNNNNNNNNNNNNNNNNNNNNNNNNNNNNNNNNNNNNNNNNNNNNNNNNNNNNNNNNNNNNNNNNNNNNNNNNNNNNNNNNNNNNNNNNNNNNNNNNNNNNNNNNNNNNNNNNNNNNNNNNNNNNNNNNNNNNNNNNNNNNNNNNNNNNNNNNNNNNNNNNNNNNNNNNNNNNNNNNNNNNNNNNNNNNNNNNNNNNNNNNNNNNNNNNNNNNNNNNNNNNNNNNNNNNNNNNNNNNNNNNNNNNNNNNNNNNNNNNNNNNNNNNNNNNNNNNNNNNNNNNNNNNNNNNNNNNNNNNNNNNNNNNNNNNNNNNNNNNNNNNNNNNNNNNNNNNNNNNNNNNNNNNNNNNNNNNNNNNNNNNNNNNNNNNNNNNNNNNNNNNNNNNNNNNNNNNNNNNNNNNNNNNNNNNNNNNNNNNNNNNNNNNNNNNNNNNNNNNNNNNNNNNNNNNNNNNNNNNNNNNNNNNNNNNNNNNNNNNNNNNNNNNNNNNNNNNNNNNNNNNNNNNNNNNNNNNNNNNNNNNNNNNNNNNNNNNNNNNNNNNNNNNNNNNNNNNNNNNNNNNNNNNNNNNNNNNNNNNNNNNNNNNNNNNNNNNNNNNNNNNNNNNNNNNNNNNNNNNNNNNNNNNNNNNNNNNNNNNNNNNNNNNNNNNNNNNNNNNNNNNNNNNNNNNNNNNNNNNNNNNNNNNNNNNNNNNNNNNNNNNNNNNNNNNNNNNNNNNNNNNNNNNNNNNNNNNNNNNNNNNNNNNNNNNNNNNNNNNNNNNNNNNNNNNNNNNNNNNNNNNNNNNNNNNNNNNNNNNNNNNNNNNNNNNNNNNNNNNNNNNNNNNNNNNNNNNNNNNNNNNNNNNNNNNNNNNNNNNNNNNNNNNNNNNNNNNNNNNNNNNNNNNNNNNNNNNNNNNNNNNNNNNNNNNNNNNNNNNNNNNNNNNNNNNNNNNNNNNNNNNNNNNNNNNNNNNNNNNNNNNNNNNNNNNNNNNNNNNNNNNNNNNNNNNNNNNNNNNNNNNNNNNNNNNNNNNNNNNNNNNNNNNNNNNNNNNNNNNNNNNNNNNNNNNNNNNNNNNNNNNNNNNNNNNNNNNNNNNNNNNNNNNNNNNNNNNNNNNNNNNNNNNNNNNNNNNNNNNNNNNNNNNNNNNNNNNNNNNNNNNNNNNNNNNNNNNNNNNNNNNNUUAUCUAUGUCUAAGAGCAUUAAUGCAAAAUGGAGACUUCUAGUGGUUGAUUGUCUGGACUCUUUCCUUCUAGUGGUUUGCAUUCUCGAAUCUCAGCCUUAACUGGAGUUUUAUGCUUGACUGUCGUAUAUUUUUCAGCCAUAACGUUCUUAUUUCAAACAAGAGUAUGGCUUCAUGUGCAUCUCUAUAUAAGCCAAUUCUUCUCAUUCAUCUGGUCAUCUCUGUAAGAUUUUAUAAAUGCUACAUUUAACAACACUUUCUUGCCAUUCUGUCGUCAUCAGCAAGCAGCAGUUAUUCUUUGCUUUUUUGCCAUUUUGGAUAACCGGAUUUCUGUGGUUCUGCAGUGGCUUAUCAUAUACUCCAUUUCCUUUUCUUUAGGUUCGACUGGGUUUUACUUUCUCCAUUGAUAUUUAUAUCGGAUUGCAGAAUCAUGCUUUCCUGUAUUUUGAAAACCUCACUUUAUUUUUUUAUUGUUUAUUCACUCAAGCUGAUAUUGUACUUUCUAAGCACCCUAAUAUUUAGUCAUCAUCCCUUUAUUCAUGAAUAAAUUUUUAUGAAGGUGAUCUGCUCAGUAGAUUAUGAUUUGCUUUAGUUUUGGUCCUAUUAGAUAAAUGGAAUCUCCCGAUUUAAACUAUAAUAUGUUACAUUCCUCGGGAUGCAUUCAAUUUAGCGCUCAAGUAGCAUUUCUAGUUAUAUGAAUUGAAAUUUCCAAUUUGUAAAUUUGAUUUACGACAGAAAAUUUACAGCAGAAGUUUUGUUGGCUACAGAAUGUGACAACUUGAAACUUGGAUUUUAGCGAUGAAUGCCUCUAAAAAUGAAUGUUCAGUAGAAAGCAUAGGCACUAGGCAGUUGACCUGCAUGUCUAGUCAUCUGAACUGGACAUGUAUGUUCAUUGAUGGAGUCUGUGUUUGUACAAUCCUCUGAAGUAUGCACAAAGAGUGUCCAGUAGGAGUCGGUUAAAACUAUCUUCUCAUUAUAAUUGUCUCCUUCACAUUAAAUUGCUUUGCAGAGACCUCAGCUUCAAUAAACUGAGUGGCAUAAUCCCUAGCUCCUUCAGCAGUCUGGAAGUGGUGGAUUAUAUGUAAGUUCUUCGAUGCAGAACUGAGGCUUAUUUUCCAUAUUUUGUAGAAGAAUCUAAAAUCCCAAAUUGUUCUAGCGGCCAAGCUAUAGGCAGCUUUUUACCAUAAAGUAGUUGAGCUAUCAGUAGAACUCAGACCAUGAUAAUAAAUCCAGUUUAUAACUCUCAAAAUCCUGGUGUCGCAAAUACCAUUUCACCGUCUAAAUUUUACAAUAAAUUGGGUUAUGAAGUUAUGAUUACUGUCAAGUAAUUAUUUUGGUGGGACUCUAGUCUUGGAGCAGGCAUAGAUCAAUGCUAUUCUGUUGCUUGAAGGGCAUGAUUCACAAGUUUCAUUAGAGUUACUUGUUUAGGCUGGAAAAGAUUAAAUGGAUCAGUGUUACUUAAGUGUUUGACAUAUUGAAUGUGUAUGUACCCAAUGCAUGUGCGGUGCUCCUGUUUUAUGAUGAAUAGGAGAUUUAACAUAGCAAAAGUACUUAGGCUCUCUCUUUGGUUCUUUCCAUAACAAUGGCCCUAGAUUGUUUGGUGAGUGCAAUUCUCACGUGGUGAUUAGAACGUCUGCAGCUAGGAGCUUGAUGUCUUGUCCCCUAUUCUUGAAAAUGACUGUUUUGACAUUGGCACAUCUUCCCUCAUUAUUUAUUUUAUGUCUUAGAAGGACAAGAACAUUAUUGCGAGGAAAUAUUUAACAAGCUAGUAUGAGUGUAUCCUUCAUUAUGUUCAGCUUUGUGUACUAGUGUUAAGGUAAUUUUUUCCCAUGCACUCCAAGUUUUUCUAGGAUCUAGUUUUUCCUCCGUCAUUGAUUUCCUUUAUCUUUCAUCUCCAGCUGAAAGCUCUAUAUUGAUAUUACUAGUUAAUUGAUUUUUUUUUCUACACCACUAAUAAUUAAAUGCUUUUAAUUUGCUAAAUAAUGUGUUUUCGAGGUAUGACUCUAUAAGUUUUCAGUUUGAGUGCAUAAAGUACACGAGGAACUGACUCAAUCAAAUAAUCUUGUUUAGCUAUCUGACUGGAAACCAAUUGACUGGAGCAGUCCCUGAUUGGAUCCUGAAGAGUAAAAAAAAUGUGUAAGCUUCGCUGUUUGAAAAAUUGUCUUGUUUAAUCUUGCAUUUGCUUCUAGCUCUUUCUUGCUAAUCUUGCACUGUAGUAAGCAAUUGUGCUUUCCCAUCUUGCAUCUUUAUAGUUUGUGGCCUAUGGAGUUUAAUGGAAACAUCAUAAGUAANNNNNNNNNNNNNNNNNNNNNNNNNNNNNNNNNNNNNNNNNNNNNNNNNNNNNNNNNNNNNNNNNNNNNNNNNNNNNNNNNNNNNNNNNNNNNNNNNNNNNNNNNNNNNNNNNNNNNNNNNNNNNNNNNNNNNNNNNNNNNNNNNNNNNNNNNNNNNNNNNNNNNNNNNNNNNNNNNNNNNNNNNNNNNNNNNNNNNNNNNNNNNNNNNNNNNNNNNNNNNNNNNNNNNNNNNNNNNNNNNNNNNNNNNNNNNNNNNNNNNNNNNNNNGGGUUUGCUUGAGCUAUUUCUUAUUAAGGAAUAUGCAGACCACGCUUUAAAAGUUUAAACUUCCUCAUAAGAGCUUCAUUCUGGCGCCCAUAAGAUAAUAUCAACUUUCUCCUAGGCACACUUAUUUUGGUUGUAAACAUGCAUUUGUGCACUCCGACUAGAUCUAAAGUCUCUGUUCACUCCAAUUAGUCUUUCUCUGUUACUGUGUAACAAUCUUUGGACUAUUGUUAAAAUAACAGUAUAUUGUGAGCCCAAAUUCUUAAAUAAGUGAACCCCACAACUUUCUAAUUAUUUGAUAUUUAUAAUUUUUUGCUCAAAACAGAUUGUUAUUCUCACAGUAAAUUAAAGAUAAUUACAUAAGCAGUUCUCUGAAAUAAAAUAUCUUGAAUAAAGAUGGAAUAUUGCUUUCAUCAUCUUGUGAUGUUUUCGCCUUUCAACUUGCCUUACCUGUCCAUAUUUUGCAACUGGUCUGCAUUUUUGUACAUAAUAAUCAUUUGAUAAAAUGACUUUCAGUGUAUUUUUCAAAGACGGUUGACUAUUUCUCUGUGUAGUGAUCUAUCAUACAACAACUUCGAAGCUACAGGCUCAGGAUGUGAAGAAGGAUCUGUGUAUGUACUAUUUCCUUCAGUUUAAGUCUGGGCUCCCCUCAAAUGUGCGGUUACGAGUGACUUAUAAUCCUGCGAGUGUACAAAAUUUUCAUUUCUCUACUGAAUGUUGAUUUUGUCUUUUCUCUACAGCAACUUGUUCGCAAGCUUGGCGGUUGACAAUAUGUAUGUUUGAGAUUAAUUUUUUCACCAAGAGACUUGGAUUUCAAAGGACCUGCAUUUUAGUUGUUUAUGUACAUAGCAUGGAACUUCAUUCAGAAUGAUGAUGAUGGUAACAUUAAAAUCUUUGUUGACUUGCUCAGAACCUCAUCUCCUGCCACAAGUGGGCUUGCCGCAUGUUCGAAAGGUCAACAUUGUCCAAAAAGUAAGUUGAUCUGCUGUAUAUCCUAUCAUUAUCAUCAAACCCUGAUACUGCAUCGUACUCUGUGUAUUUUCUCAUCAAAUCGAUUUCCUUAUCAACUCUCCUCUGGGCUAUUGUGUCAAUAUUUGAUGAUUAAUGCAUCAUUACUCUAGAUAUUUUAAAAGCCGCCUCCAUGAAAUAAUGUCUUGCUCGAAAACCUGGGGGUUUCUAUGUGAUCUUUUCAAAGGGAAUGCUAGUUUACCUAGCGUGUCUGGAAAGUCCACUCCUUAUGAAGAAAAAGAAAAAACUUGAUUUUUCUCUUUGUGGCUGUACUCCAUCCAGAUUUGCAUAAUCUCUUCAUAAAUUGUGGUGGGAGAGAAGUAACAAUAGGGAACAACACGUACAGUGCUGAUCGAGGGCCUCUUGCAGCUGCUUUCAGUUCCUUCCCAAGUGGACGUUACUGGGGCUACAGUGGCACUGGCCACUUCCCUGAUGACGAAAGUGAAUCGGAUGAAUAUAUAGCUGACAAUGUAUCCGUACUGUCCAUGGACAAUGCCCAGCUUUACAUAAAUGCACGGCUUUCUCCAAUAUCUCUAACUUAUUAUGCUUUUUGUCUGAUGAACGGGACCUACAAUGUAAGCCUUCAUUUUGCGGAGAUAAUGUUCACAGGCAGUAAAAGUUAUACAAGCCUUGGAAGGCGAGCUUUUAAUGUUUAUAUACAGGUAAAUUUCGGGCAUUAUGUACUGCUGAUUCUAAUAUGUUAAGCAUAUAAAGCGUUCAAUGUGUUACGGUUGGGUUGUUUUAUCUAAAUACCUUGUAUUUGCAAAUCAUGAUCUUUUCACAACUUGUACGUUCUAUUGAAACUGAAAGUUUACCUUGUUCAGUGUGGAGACACUCAACAAAUCAAAUUAAACAUUAUUUCAGGGUAUAUUGGUGUGGAAAGAUUUCAACAUUGCGAUUGAAGCAGGUGGAGUUGGAAAGGAGGUCAUAAGAAAUUUUACUGCCAACGUGAACAAGAGCACUCUGGAGAUACGCUUAUAUUGGGCUGGGAAAGGAACCAACGCUAUACCUAGGAAAGUCGUCUAUGGUCCUCUUAUAUCUGCUAUCUCCGUCUAUCCUGGUAUGCAGAUAGACAGUUCCAUGUUUCACUUGGUGCUUCUCUAUUGAGAAAGUUACUCGUAUUCAUAUUGGAAACAAAUACGCAUGUUUUGUCUUGCACCAGAAGUCAUCAAUAGGCUAUUCAGCUACUUGGUUUGGUUGCAAAUGUCCACUGUUGGAUUCAGGCCAUUGGCAUCUGUUACAAUUGAUCAGAUAAAUUUCUACAGUAGCUGACCAGGAUCUAUUAUUGUUCUCUUAAGAGUCGAAAAUUGGCUAUGGUUUGCUUUGUUUUCUCUCUCUCUGAGCAUGUUUUCUCUGUGUAUCUUUAAUCCUUCUAUUCAGACUAUGAAACAGUAGCCUUGUUCACUUUUCUGCCAUGGAUCAAUGACCAUUGCACCUGCAUUAUAAUAUAGUACAGCUUUGAGAAUGAAGAGUAGAUUUUUUUUUUCUUUUUUAUUUUUUUCCCUUUGUAUUUAGUAUUAUGUUCCAAAGGAGAUAUCUUCCUUUGCUCAUUAAUCUGAUAGUUUCACUGCAGACUUUGAUCCCUCACAAGAAUUGCCCAGUUCACCAGAUUCAACUGGCAUAUCUGCUGGCACAGUGGUCGGGAUUGUGGCUACUAUAGUUUUUGUAGUUUUUCUUAUCCUGGUUAUCCUUUGGUGGAGAGGACGUCUUGGACGUGAAGAUGGAAUGGCACAAGGUAGUUGCUUCCCUGGAGUCUUUGAUAUUUAGUUCACAUAUAUCUGUUAAGAUAUACAAGAAUGUUUUGCACUGUGAAUACAUUGUCCCCGUUCCCUAUUCUGGUGGGAAGGGGGGUAGUCACGUUGCACCUUUUAUAUAUCAGCUAGAUCACACAGUUGUCCUAUCAAACUGUUGGCACGUCACUCAUCUUCUUCUUCUUCUUCUUCUUCUUCUUCUUCUGCACACAGUUGUCCUGUUAAACCGUUGGUGCACCAGUGUUCUUCUUACCUUUUGUGGUGGGGAAGGGUAAUCACAAUGCAUCAUUAAUACUGCAACAAGGUUACAUGGAUCCCCAGUAGAACUGUUGUUGCAUGACAUUUGUGCAUCGUCACUCCUCCUCCUCCUCCUUCCUCUUACCUUUUCUAGUGGGGGGAAGGGUAAUCAUGAUGCAUCAUCAAUACGCAACUAGAUUACAUGAAUCCCCAGUAAAUAUUGCAUGACAUUUGUGCAUUCCAUUGGAAAUUUGACUCGACACUAAAGAAAACAAAUUAUUAGUAAGCCAUGAUACAGCUAAAGAGUCCUCGAUCCAUUUGGUUCACUAAACUCUUAUUUGGAAAUCCAAAAAUGAAGGGAUAGAUAGCCAUAGGAAGGGAUACCCCGUGUGUGUGUGUGUGUGUGUUGGGUAUACUUGGGGGUGGCAAUCGACCAUAUAUGUACUAAAUCUAUGUUUCAAGACAUCAAAAAUAAAUACCAGUAACUUUUUAUAUACAAGACAUCAAAACAUACAAACCUUGCCUUACCUUUCCAAAUUGGGCUUUUUCUAUGAUUUUUCCUUUCCCCCACUACUAAAUACCCUGAAGACAUUCUUUUUUUUUUUUCAAAGUACAUACUGCCGACCAAUACCAAAGAAUAUACAAAAAAAAUUUCAAGAUGCUAAGAUAUUCAGUACUGAACUUGCUCAGACCAAAUAGUCAUUAUGAGGUUUUCUGGUACAUUGAGAAUGAAUUGCCAUGUCUUUGUUAGAUGGUAGAUUACAUACUUUAGCUGUUGACUCCUCCAAAUUCUUAAAAGAUCCAAAACCUUGUGCAGAUUUGAAGGUUCUAGCAUUGCAAAUUGGUUCAUUUACCUUGCGACAGAUUAAAGCUGCCACAAACAAUUUUGAUGCUGCCAAUAAGAUUGGAGAAGGUGGUUUUGGUUCUGUGUACAAGGUAUAUAGGAAUAUCACUGAACCAACUUCCCUGAAUUGCAAAUGGAAAAUAUUUGAAGAAAGCAGCUUUCAAUGUAACCAAAUCUUGACAGCAUGGAUCUGAUGCCAAAGUUCAAUUGCAGGGUCUUCUGUCAGAUGGCACGACUAUAGCAGUGAAGCAGCUUUCAUCCAAAUCCAAGCAAGGAAAUCGUGAGUUUGUGACUGAGAUUGGGAUGAUUUCUGCUCUUCAACAUCCGCAUCUUGUGAAACUCUAUGGAUGCUGCAUUGAAGGAAAUCAACUUUUGCUGGUUUAUGAGUACAUGGAAAAUAACAGUCUUGCUCGUGCUUUAUUUGGUAAUUUGAUAUCACACUUUCUUCAUUGACUUCAGCUGAUGACAUGGGAUUAAAGUAGUUUUGAUUUCUUCUGAUACAAAUGAAGGUCCUGAAGAAUUUCAGUUAAAAUUGGAUUGGUGGACAAGGCACAAGAUAUGUGUGGGUAUUGCCAGGGGCUUGGCAUAUCUUCAUGAAGAAUCAAGGCUAAAGAUUGUGCAUAGAGACAUCAAAGCUACCAAUGUUUUACUGGAUAAGGAUCUCAACUCUAAAAUAUCAGAUUUUGGUUUAGCAAAGCUUGAUGAGGAGGACAACACGCGUAUUAGCACCAAGAUUGCUGGAACUUAGUAAGUUUCUUGCCUUUUGUUCCUGUUAACCUAAGUAGGAGCCAGUGACAACAUAAAAGCAUGGAAUAGAAACAUUUAGUCUGAUUUGAGAAAAGUGAGUUGAAUGGAGCUUUGUGGUGGAUUCACAUCAUCCCAAAGCAAGGUGCUCAACAAAUUUGGCUUAAUUACAAAGCUUUAUGUGUGUCCCACCACUCUUCACGUUAAUUUGGAAAAAAUAUAAGUUAUUUCACAUACUCUACCAUCAAGUAAUGACACUCUGAUAAUGACUUAUGUAAAUGUUACUUCGAAUAUAACUUAGUAUUAUAGGUGAUAGAGCUAAUUCACCCAUGUUUCUAUUGUGUACACACGAAAAAACAUAAAUAAUGUUCACAUGUUUCAAACGUUUGCGUUAACACAUGUGAAAAGUCAACUUGUUUGUGAAAAGAAUGUGAUUAAUUAGGGAAAAGAUAAUUGUAAGCUCAUUCUACUAACUCUAACAUUAAUUCAACAAAAAAGAACUAUAAUAUUAACUAAUUUCCAUUAUCUCAACAAACUUAUAUAAUCUAAUACAAUUUCCGGAAAGUUCAUAUCCUCCUAAAGAUUGAUAAUAUCCCAUGUGCUCCAUAUACUGCAAUAAGAACAAUUCAAGAUAAACAUUUCGUACGGUAAUUCAAUGUGCCCUACCUAAUGCGUUCACUCGGACAAAAAGCUUGUAAAAUUAUUAUGAUACAAUUAUGAUGCAAGACAUUUUAACAGUCUAUAUUGACACAUAAUUUAAUUGUUUUUUUUUAUGUUUCCCCAUUGACAAACAACUUUAUGCAAAACAAUAUAAUGAACAACAACUACUGUAAGUUAAAAAUUUCAAUAUAAAUUAUCUGUAUAUCCUGCAAUGUAUGAAAAACACAAUUUUAGUAAAUAUGUCUCGCAUGACAUUAACAUAGAUGAUGCACUUUCAAGUGAAUUUCAAAAUCAGUUUUUGGUCAGAAUACCUCUUUUCCAAGUUAUAAAGUCAUUUAUGUAGCCUGAUAACUAUAUAGAACAACAAUGGUCUUUUUUUUUUCCUGAAAUAUUCUCAGUAUAUUCUAUCAGAAAAUUUUGGGAUGCACUUGUUUUUUUCCUCUACUCUUUAGACCAUAGCGUCAGAUUUAGGAAUGUCUCUUUCUUUUGAAUUUUAGGAAAAUUAAGUAUUUGCUAUUUAAGGCAGUUACCUUGUUGCAAACAUAAGCUCUUUUCUUGUUGUGCAGUGGAUAUAUGGCACCCGAGUACGCAAUGCAUGGUUACCUCACCGACCAAGCUGACAUCUAUAGUUUUGGCAUAGUUGCCUUAGAAGUUGUUAGUGGCCGGAGCAACACUGGUUCCCAUAAAAAUGAGGAAUGCUUUUAUAUACUCGAUUGGGUAAGCAACUCUAUCAUUUCAAUUAUGAUCGUAUCCAUAUUCAUCCCUGCUUGUGCCAGUGGAAAAUGGAUUACGGAAGCGUGAGCGUAGUAUAAAAGUCCUCACAUGCACUUUUAAUGGUUGCAAAGGAGUUUACAGUUACCAGCUAUUGAAACCUGCUUAAGAAUUGUUAUGAUGUUAAGUGCAAUUUGUCAUUUCAAAUUAAUCCAAUUCUUCUUAUUAUGUUGGUCUACACUGAAUUUUCAUGUGGAAUCUUUUUUUGGAUUGAAGAAAAUUCUAUUCCUUUAAAUUUGGGGUAGUUCAGUCUUAGUUUUUAUGUUUUUAUGCCUGACAUUCAUACUCCCUGUAGUUUCAUUAGCGUCAAACAAGUCCUUCGACUACUAUUGAAUUUUGGCAAUUACGGGUAAAUUAAAAAGUUUUCAAAACCAUGUCUACCAGAAUAUCCAUAUACUUUCGAUUGAGGUAUAAGUUUUUUCACAUUCAUAUAAUUGAGUCCUUAAGUUAGAUUUUGUUUUGCUUUGAGUAAGCGAUCAUUAGAAAAAAAAAACAAUCAUUGUAAGUCCUCGUUAAAUCCGAUUGCCACCUGAGUUGCAUAAUCAGGUAUUCUUGUUAAACUAGAAUUGAGAGUAGAAGGCACUGGAUGGUGUAAAACAUUGAAGGACUUGUCUACCAUUUCAUGUAACGACACUGGCAAAUAAUUCGUGCCGAUAAAACUCAAUAAGAGCUGGCAAAUUAAUACAAUGUUGGUAAUUUUUUGGCAACCUGUUAUCCAUUACCAAUUGAUGUUGGAGUUACUAACUUUUUUAAAAUAAAAAAUCAGUAAAGAAAUCAUGUUCGAUCUGUAUUGACUCAUUCGAUUCUUUUUAUCCAUUUAUACCCUAUAACGAAGAUGAAAAACUAGCAGGUGCUUAUCAGCUGCAUUUGUCGCGUAAUAAUCAAGGGACAUAAUAUAUUUCCUUCUUCCUGUUUUAUUAUUUAGAACAUAUUUUGCAACUGAUCAGUACCUGAAGUCUGGAAAGGGAAAUAUCUUCAAUUUUCAUUUCUUUUUCUAGGCACGCUUUUUGAAGGAGAGAGGAAAUUUAAUAGAUCUAGUUGAUCGGAGGCUCGGUUCGCACUUUGACAAAGAGGAGGCGCUGGCAUUGAUAAAGGUAGCUUUGAUGUGUACUAAUGUGACUCCAGCACUCAGGCCGCCGAUGUCGUCUGUGGUUAGCAUGCUUGAAGGCAAGGUUGCUGUUCCAGUGCUGGACUCCAAGGACGCUAUGAUGACUGAGGAGCAAAUUGAGGCCAUGAGGAAGCAUUUUAGAGGUGACGAACAUGAGGCAAUUGGUGAGAAUAUCACCAAGAGUAUGUCCACUGAUGGGUCAUGGACUGGAACCGCUUCCUCUGCAUCCGCUAAUGAUCUCUAUCCAGUACUCCUGGAUACUGAUUACUAGCAGAAGAGAGAGUAAGAAAUGGUUUGUUGCGUUCUAAGUAAAUUAGUUCUUGAAAGAACUGUGGCUUUAGCUCUUAAAUUUCUCUCCGAAGUUUCUCCUUCACUUACGUUUGAAACUGAAGGUGUAGAUAAUAUAAAGAAAACAACAGUGCUAUGCACUGCAGUAAUUGUGUGUUGUGAACUCAUUAGUUGGGAAAGCCUAAAGAUAAUGGCUUGUGGUUUGAUGGUUGUAUUUGUGCCGUUUCUUUCCAUAUUGUUAUUCGAACAAACAUGAUGUUGCAACUUUUUUCUCUUCACACAAUAACGAUACAGAUGGUUGUUACUGCAAGGGAGGGAAUCUAUUAUGGAAGUUCUUCAUUUGUUUGAAUGGCGAGAUGUGCGAAGUGGCACGUUCUUGCUUUGGACAUGUUUUGUUCACGGGCUCGACCCGUUAGAUGUUGCUACUCAAGAAUUUGUCUUAGCAAAUGCGAAUUUUUUCUAUCUUUAGUGUUGAUGACGGUUGGCCAACUUCAUCUUUCCCAUCUUUGAGAGAUGAUAAAAGAGAAACUUGAUACUUGCUUGUCCACCCACAAAAAAAUUUAUCUGGAGAAAUUUGCAUGUCUAGUCACUAUUUCUUCCAGAUGGUGGAUUACUACCUCAUCAGUAGACUACUUCAAUUCCAUCAGUGAUUCUGUAUUAUGAGUCAAUGCUCAAAACGAUCUCAGGUUAACGUCAAAAGAAUCAAACAAGGAGAAACCGAAACCGAAACCUCAAUGGGAUCAGCUGCUCACCCUGAGACCUGAGAGGUGGGGGCCAAUUUGAUUUAAAUGUUUCUAAUUAGCCAAAAAAUAACGCAAGUGCCAAAGCUUGGCACGAGACACUUAAGUGCCAAAAGUUAAAGUUAUGAGUACUAUUGACUUUGGCCAUUUUAUUAAGGGCUUUAUCGUGCCCAAAUAAAAAUUGAUUUUCAUUAAAUUGCAUCACAUAUAAACAGUAGAAUAUGAUCUUGAGUGAAUAAAACUUAAAAAUAAAGUGAGAAUUAAGGGGGAAAAAAAGGGGGAGCAUGAUUCUGCAGUCCAAUAUAAUUAUCGAUGGAGAAAUUACAACCUAGUCAAACCGAGAGAAAAGAAAAUGGACUAUAUGAUAAGCUACAGCAGAACCACAGAAAUUCAGUUACUCAAAAUGUCAGAGAACAAACAAUAAGCGUUGCUGGCUGAUGAUGGGAGAAUGGCAAAAAAUUGUCGUCAAAUAUAGCAUUUACAAAAUUUUACAGAGAUGACCAGAUGAAUAAGAAGACUUGACUAGUAUAGAGAUGCUCUUGAAGCCAUGAUCUCUUUCGAACUAAGAACACUAUGGCAUUGCAGCAAACGGAGACUUUAGAACUAGUUGGAGUGCAUAAAUAAAUUUUUACCCAGUAACAGGACAACAGACACGAUGGUAUAAGGCAAAGAAAAGAAAAAUAGAACUGCGAUUCAAACAACUCCUAAAUCAGAUCUUCUUAUUAAGAAAUAUCCAGACCACUAUUUAUUUGUUAAAACUACCCGAUAAAAGCUUCAUUCUUACACCCAUGAGAUAAUAUCAACUUCCUCCUAGGUACACACAUUUUAGUUGUAGAGUUUCUCAAGUACACAAACCCAUAAACGUGCCCAAGCAACUAAUCAUAUUGUGCAGAUGAUGUGUUAGACAAACUUUCAAAGAGGAUUCACAGGAAGCAAAAAUUUUCCAAAUGUUAUUUUUAUCAUUCCAAGAGGUUUGAAAAAGACCUAGAGCUGCGAAGGGCUUUCCUUAUAGGAGAAAGUGGGGGUUAACUUGACACUUCCAAGAAAAUCCGCUUCAUAUUCUUUCAUGCAUACCUCGUCUUACAUAUAACUUUCCAAAAAACAGAUCCCAACAAGGAGAAAGGUAGUUAUGAUGUCUCCAUUUAACUCCAUAGACUACAAACCAUAAAGAUGCAAGAUGGGAAUGCAUAAUUGCUUGCUACAGUGCCAGAUUAGCGAGAUCGAGCUAGAAGCAAAUUCGGGAUUAAACAAGACAUUUUUUCAGGCAGCGAAGCUUAAACAUUUUUUGCUUUCUCCAGGAUCCAUUUAGGGACUGCUCCAGUCAAUUGGUUUCCGAUCAAAUAGCUAAACGGGAUUAUUUGAUUGAGUCAGUUCCUCGUGUACUUUAUGCACUCAAACUGAAAAAUUAUAGUCAUACCUACGCAUUAUUUGGAAAGGCAUUUAAUUAUUAGAGGUCUAGGAAAAAAUCUGUUACCUCGUGAUAUCAAUAUAGAGCUUGCAGCUGGAGAUAAAAGAUAAAGGAAAUCAAUCACAGAGGGAAAACUUGGUCCUUGCAAAACUUGGAGAGCAUGGGUUGCCAUGACACUGAAGGAAUGUUUGUUAACCAUUCAAAUAAUAUCUGAUUCUGAUUUUUUGUUUCCAGCAGCAAUUUGGGAACAAAAUCGCGUUUGGUAAAAUUUUUGCUCACGGGAACAAAUUUCUAUUUUUUAGUUCCCGGAAGUAGAUUUGGAACAGAAUCAAGAAAAAAAAAAAAGAAAGUUGAUUCUUGUUUCCAAAAACAAAUCUAAGAAUCAAGACCAUAUUUCUCUUCUUCUUCUUUUUUCUCUUCUUCUUCUCCCAUUUUCUUCUUUUUCGUCUAUUGCCAUCCCGCGAUUGCUGUCUGCUGCCCACCGCCCACCGCCGCCGGUCGCCGACAACCGGUCCGACAAGCUCGCCGAAAGCUCGCCAAGCCAAGGCGAGGUCCAGUGAGCUCACCAAAGGCAAGCCUAACUAGACCUCGUUGGAGGCAAGCCCCGCCACCAGUGAUCUGGCGAGAUCGAGCCUCGAUGGGUCUGGGCGAGCCUCGCCGGUGGCCCGGCGGGCCUCGCCUAGCCCCGCCGAUGGCCAAGCGAGCCUCACCCAACUGCUGGCGAGGCUCAACCAACGAUGUGACAUCCUGAUUUUCAACCCUGUUUCGAUUAAAUGAAAUAGGCUUUUCAUUGACGUGCCUAUAGUCCUCUUCUCUAAGCUGAUCAUUUAUGAGAUAACUAAUCUAUCAUGUGAAGCCGUUAAGGGAUAUAAACGCGACAAACUUGAGAAUUCGAUCAGAAAUCGACUGCUUGAUCGUGCUAAUCUGCAAAAGGUCAAUACGGCACCAGUAUAAUUGAUUAGAGAUCGGAAAUAGGUCGAUUCAACAAAUGUAUGUAAUUAAAUGGUGGGUGAUUUCACCUAAUUGCAAAAAUCCGUGUCAAAUAGCACUAACCUAAUUUUCUGUCUAUUCUGUACCAUAUGCCCGUAAUUGAAAUCUCGAGAUUUUUAUGACAAUCGAGAGUUGCCAAUGAGUCGAAGAUGCACAAUGUGGAUCGAAAAUAAUCGACCAUGAAUCAAACGCGCUAAAAAUUCCUAUAAGCUACCCGGUAAGUUAGGUCACGCACGAACGGAAUUAACCACGAAAUUGAAUCCGGUUUUGGGAAUCAAAAGUUCCAACGUAUCACGAGUUAUUUUUAGGACGUCGACUCAUCCUUUGAAGAAUUUUCGGUGAGCCCAGAUUUUUGAUGAAAAAUCAAAAUUCGGCAAUUUAAAACCGGGAAAUUCGGAUGGCCAUCUCUGGGUGGAAUUUUGGCAUUCAAGAUGGGUCAAUUGGUGAAGGAAAUUGUGGAAUUUGGUGUGAGCUUCUUCCUCGGCAAAUUUGGGCAUCAAAUUGGAGAGAAUUGGUGUGAAAUUGAAGAUGGAAUUCAUGAAAUUCGUAGGCUUGUGGGGGCUGCAACAUUUGGUCAUCAAUUUGGCUUGCUUAUGAAGAUUUGGGAGGAAAAUUGGCUGUGGGAUAAGGGUUGAAGACUUUGGGGCAACACUUGAGUGUGUAGAUAUUUGUUCUUGGCUCCCAUUGGCUUGUGGCAAGACUUCCUCUCCCCUUGUCCCCUUGUUUUCCCUCCUCUCUCCCCCUCAUUCUCGACCACCCUAGCAGAAGCCUCCUUGUGUUGCUUUUUCCUUCUUCUUCAUCCUUUCUCCUCCUCCAUUGUUGAAGCAAAACCAGAGGACCAGCACCAGCCCUUGCACCGGAAUAGCAAGCCCCCGCCGAAGCCAACUCGCCUGAACUAACCUCAGCGCCGCCAUUCCCGUCCGCGACUCCAGUCCCACGCACCGCCGUGUCCAGGUCCAACUCGCAGCCAGGCCGCCCGUCGUAGCUACAGCCAUGCCCGUAGCCGUCCCCGAGCCGCCGUUGCUGCUCUGACACCCUCUUGCCCGUUCCCGCGCUAGCCAACCCCUCUCGGUCGAGCCCAACUUCUAGCAACUCUUGAACCAGCCCAAGACAAAAGCAAAUCUCAGCUGUGGGCUGAGGCUUGCUUAGCCUUUUUCGAGCCCUUCCAAGCCUCUUUGGGUGUCGCCGUAAGCCUGAGUCUAGCUCGCCGUCACAUCGCUAUCGCCAUGAAUCAAUUUAUUCACUAAUCCUGUGAGCUAACCUCCUAAACCUUAAUAAGGGGGUUAAUUACUCUAAGAGGGGGGUUAAUUAUUUUUAGUUGGGUUAGAUUAAGCUAAGUGAGAUUAGUGUAAUUUAGUUAGCUUAUUUAGUUAAUUAGAUUAAUUAGUUAGGCCCAAUUAGGUGGUUAGUUGAUUUAAUGAGUUAGUUUAGUAGGUUAUUAUGCAUCUAGCCUAGGUAGAUUAAUUUAAUUAGUCCAAUUAGGUGGUUAGAUUAGUAUAUGUAUGCUAAUUAGUGCUUUAAUUUAAUUAUUUUGCAAUUUAUUUAAUUAAAUUAAAGUUAUUUAAUUAUUUAUUAAUUAGCGGAAAUUAUAUCGGGAUAGCCGGUUGUCAAAAUUUCGUGUUGAUUGUCGUGGUGUGGUUAAUUUGUGCAAUUGAGUGCUAAUUUAUGCAAUUGGAUGGUUGUUGAUAUUUUUUAUUUAUUAUUUCAAAAAUAUGAAAUUAUGGUAUUUAAUUAGAAAAAUACCGGGUGUUGGGUUUUGAUACGAAAAAUGUUUUUAAGUACUAUAUCAAAUCAUGAGAUUUUUAAAUGGGAGAAUAUCACGCUUUAUGGUCCGAUUUGAUCGUGUGUCCACACACACUUAUUUUACUAGUUGUUUUAAUAUGAAGAAAAUAGGCCAAGUACAUUAUUUGAAAUUAAGGCAUUUGAGUGCAAAGCACAAUGUCCUUGACUGAGAUUGAAUGUGCGUGUGAUCGCUAUGAGAACCCAUCACCCGAUGAAAGUCGAGUGGGCAAUGCUCCUAUAUGGAGGCCCCAUGUCAAUGGAUGACAGAUUGCAGUAGAGGCCGAAUCGAUGUUCUUUCGGGAAUGCCGUCUAGAUGUAGACGUUGUCAUACUUGAUGGGACGAGACAACGCUCGGUUAUACUAGAGGACUGCCGACUGUUGAGUUGGACAUGGCCAAUGGGUCAUAAGAACUAGGGACACAUGUGAUUAAUUGGAAUAACCACACCUGAUUAUGAGAUAAAAUUGUGUGACACAAAAUGUGACGUAUCAUAACGAUUUAGCCUUAUAAUCGGGACCCCAGUGGAUAUUUGAUGAUUGAUGUACAGUGUUCCAAUUAUUAAAUAUGUCUGUUGUAUGCAUAUGUUAUAUGAGCUGUACUAAUGUGCAGGGAAGUACUAAGGUGAGGUAAGUCUUAUAUGAUGUGUGUUUAGGCUGCCUCUAGGUGUAUUAUCUUCUUAAUCGGAGUUUAGAGUGUAGACUCACUGAGACAUCGUGUCACCCCGUCGUGGUUUAUAAUUUUCAGAUCCCUAGAUGGAGGUAUGUCAAGUACGGUAUGGGGUUCCACUGGUGAUGGAUUUUGAGCACACUUUCUUCCCUAUUCCUGGGACCAUCCUAACCUGAGAGCUAGUUGAGUCUAUGGUAUGGGUCGAUGAGGGCCUACCUUAGUUGAUACCUCAUCGAUACAUAGCAUGGUUCAUUGGCUUUCCUUAGGAGGGUCGGGAGGGUUCUCUACAGGGUUUCAACGAGCCUCCCGUUGGGACCGGGUAGUGGGAAGCAGGGCAUCCUAUGGAUCUCGACACCCCAUACGGUGUCAUAACGGACCCGGAGCCCAUGGAUGAGGAGUCCGAAGCUUAGAGGGCUCAGUAGUAGUUUCUUUUGAGAUAGACCUGACCGUAUAUAAACCUGGUUUGUUUAUAAAUAGGUUUUGUGAAAUUUGGUUGUCAUGCUUUUCUAUCCUUUGUUUGUUGUUGUCUGGAGAUUGUUUAAUUUGUUUCCGCAUGUGCAUGGAUUGCUUGGGUCGGCGACGCAUUCUAGGAAUGUCACAACUUAGUCAACCACUGAGGGAUGUGUGCACACUCGAGAUUUGGGAUGUGACAUCCUCGCCCGAAGUGGUAUCAGAGCUGGUUAGUGUUUGGAGUAAUAAGGUGCGAUGGUCUUGGGAUAAUUAGUAGGAAAGGCAUUUUUCUUAUUCUGAUGCAUGUGAUUGAUAGCUAAUUGGUAGAUUGUUUAUGUGGAUCGCUCAGUUUCUAAUUCUGUGUGGAAUUGGAAAACAGGUUCUGUAAGGAUCUUGUAUCAUGAGUGAUCAAGAGCAGAGAACUCCUAGGAAGAGGACCGUUGUGUCGGUUAUUUAGGGUAGGACGCCGACGAGAGUCGGUACUCGAGGAAGAGCGUAGGCUCAGGCCAACGUCAGUAGGAUAGCACCACCGCAAGUUGGUGCUAGUAUAGCAGCACUUGGCGAUCCUAGAAUCGAUGGAAUCGUAUGAGCGCUCGAGACCCUGGGGAAUUUGGUAGAGCAGCAAGCCCAGAAUCAAACCGCCGCCACUACCAUCGCCGCUAUAGCCGCUGCUACUGUUGCCACUAAUGUUGCUAUUGCUACCGUAGCAACACCUGUUGAAGUCCAACCUGGAGUUGUGAUCGGGGAGAGACCAAUGCAUAAGCUUGUCAAGCAGUUUUUUAAGUUGAACCCUCCGAGAUUCACAGAGGCAGGUGAUCCCGAGGCUGCAAACCUCUGGAUUCAGGAAUUAGAGUUAGAACUUUUAUUUUAUAAUCUCGCAAUCAAGAGAGUUCACGAACAUCAAGAAAGGACUUCUGAAAUGUGUUAUUCAUGCAAAAGUGUGAUAAUUAAUGUACUCCAAUUUACUUAUAGUCUUGUUGAGCGGCUCAAGUUUCCAAGUUUGGCUCAAGAGUGCCUUCAAGCAGAUUGUCCUCUAAUGCACUAGCAUUGCCAUAAAUUUAUCACCAUCAGGUCUAACACAUUCUCAAUAUAAAGGUAUGUGAUUUAUAGCAAGUCUUAUAUAGCUCUUCCAAGGUGUUGAUGUUGCCAAUUUCCUUGGGAAUGCCACUUAUGUGAUUUUCAAGUGUUGACGUGAAGCAGUAAAGUGAAGACUAAAGUAUGCUUCUUUUCAAACUCCUAAUUAAAUUGUGAUAAUGAUCUAUGAUCUAUGAUAAGGUUAACUUAUUGAAUGGUAAGUGAUAUCUUAGUGAGAGUUGUGGGGAGCGAUCCACUGAUGUAGUUACGAGUGAGAUCUCUGCUUGCAAAGACUGCUCACUUUAGAACUUCUACAAUUCUCAAGCAAUAAUUUGUUAAACUCCUGACAAAUUAGUUGAUUUAGAUUCCCACGAAUGCUACAUUUCUCAAAUAAAUACACGCUUAAGAAAAUUGAUAACCAUGUGCUUAAGAAAGAUCAAUCAACAAUUACGGAAAACAAUGUCAAUAAUAAGAUGAGGUGAAACUAGAAUAGUCUUCACUUAGCUCAUAAAAUGCUUUUCUGUGAUUUCCUCACAAAAAUAAAGAAACAUUGCCCAUCAUACACAUUCAAGUCCUUUGGCCUAAUUACCUUUUAUAUGGGAAGAUCUCAUGCACUCAAGUCUGACUCACAUUUCUAUUAGGUAAGUGAGGGUGUAGAAUUCAUCAAGAAAAAUCAUUGUCACAUUAAGGGCGCACAUGACAAAAUUUUUAUUUUUCAAUUUCUCUGUUUCUCUGUUCCCCGGAACAGGUUUGGAAUAGAAAUCCGUUUGGUUACACAAUUUGAUUUAUCUAUUUCUGAAACAGAUUUCUAUUCCAGAAAUAGAGAAAUCAAAGAAAUCAUAAGCUGAAAUUUUAACUUCUCAAUUUCUGAAAUAGAAAUCAGAAGCUGAAAUCAAACCAUAUAAAAGCACCUUAUACUUUCUUGCUAACUUAAUUCACUCGUAACCACAACUUCACAAAUUAUUGGUAAUUUUCUUUUUCUUAUUUUGCUCUUGUUUUUUUUUUGUUCAUUUUUUUUUGAUAACUUCCUCUUUAGGAUGAAAGGCAAUCGAAUGGAUCCCCAAUUUUAAAAAACGACCAAAGUUCUUAAAUGCUUACUUAAAAACAAUGGGGCUCUUUCCUUCUAGAAAGGGCACGCGCAUGGCCAGUUGAAGAAAAAGUUCUUAUGCAAUAGAUGAAUAAAAAACGAGCCUAGAAAUUUAACCUUGUUUCUUUAUAGAUUCAAAAUUCUUGCAAAAUCAAAAUAAUUAGUUAGUUACACAAUCUUGAAUUUUAAUUCGAAGGCAAGAGAUUCGAGAGAAUCUCUCUCUUUGCUAUGCAAGAGCCAUUAAAGGUUCAUUGAGCAACAAUAAAGAAAUUAGGGAUGAGCAACUGGACUAAUUCAAUUUGAGAAUAAAAAUAAACCGACCUUCUCCCGAUUGAUUCCUAACCAUAAACGUUACUUCAAGGUAGAAUUCUUAUAAAUUCCUUUACACCAUCAAUUUUAUUUUGUUGAUAAUCUUGUGUAAUACUAGUCUAUGAUAAAAUGACGGGGUUAUAUAGGCGUCAUUGAUGGCACCCAUAUUCAUGCUUUUGCAGUACUUGUCUGAACCUACACAAGAUGAGCUUGCAAACGAUACAUUGACCGAGGAGGGAAACCAAAUAAAUACGCUUAGGAAAACCAUUGCCAAUAAAAUGGCAAUGGAUAAUAAUAUGCCGGAAAUUCCAUGAAAUUGUAUUUUCAACUUUUGUAAUGUAUUAGUAUAUUUCGACUAUUAAUUUGUAUUUGAUGAUUUCCUAUGUUGUUAUCUAAUUAAUUUCUAUUCCUAGAAAUAAAAAUUUUAUUCUGUUAUCAAACGGAUUUCUAUUCCAGAAAUAGAAAUUUUGAGUCGUUAUCAAACGGAUUUCUUUGCUCAGAAACUUGUUCGGGGAAUAGAAAUUGAAAAAUCAAUUUCUAGCCAGAAAUCAAUUUCUGGAAUAGAAAUUUUGUCAUGCGCGCCCUAAGUCUCUUUAGUUGGCUGUGAAAUGAAGAAGAUACUUAGAGAAACAAAAAUAAAUUGUUGGUUCAUACAUACAUCCUUGUGACAUGGCAAACUAUGUUGUUAAUGAAGGCACUGUUGCAAGUCAUGCUCUUCUAAGUACUUAUUUUACUUGGCAUGUUUUGUAGAUAAGCACAAAAUGCUGUAGAGCCAAAGGUAGCGCCCCUUAGUUAAGAUGAUUAAAAUGGGCUUGAUCUUAUGUGACAUUCUAAAUUUCGACCCUAUUUCGAUUUAAUGAACUAGGCUUUUCAUUGACGCGCCUUUAGUCCUUUUUCUCUGAGCUGAUCACUCAUGAAAUAACUAAUUUAUCAAGUGAAAUUGUUAAGGGAUAUAAACGCGAUAGACUUGAGAAUUCGACCAGAAAUCGACUGCUCGACCGUGAUAAUUGACAAAGGUUAAUACGGCACCGUUAUAAUCGAUUAGUGAUCGGAUAUAGGUUGAUUCGAUAGAAUGGCGUAAUUGAAUUGUGGGUAGUUUCACAUGAUUGCAAAAUUCACGUCGAAUGGCACUAACCCAAUUUUUAGUCAAUUCUGUACCCGGUGUCCAUAAUUGAAACCUUGAGAUUUUUACGACAACUGAGAGUCGCCGAUGAGUCGAAGAUGGACAAACGUGGAUAAAAAUUUAUCGACCACGGGUCAAAUGCGAUAAAAUCCCUAAAAACUACCCGGUAGGUUAUGUCACGCUAAAAUCACGUCCAGUUGAUUUUAACCAUGAAAUUGAACUUAGUUUCGAGAAUCGAAAGUUCGAGCGUCACGAUUUAUUUUUAGGAUAUCGUCUUAUCCUUUGAAGAAUUUUCGGCGAGCCCGAAAUUUUGGCGAAAAAAUAAAAAUUCGGGAAAUUUAAUUCAAGGAAAUUCAUAUGGGAACUUUGGUGUGGAUUUUUGGCCACCAAAGUGUUUUGUUUUGUGAAGAGUUGAAGGGAAAAUUGUAAGGGUGGCUGCCAUGGCAUUUUUUGGCCACCAAUUGAGUUGAUUUGGUGUGAAGUUGAAGAAGACAUCCAAGAAAUUCGUAGGGUUGCUGCUAUAUGCAUUUUUGGCCUUCAAUUUGGGUUUGUUUGUGAAGGAAAUGUGAAGAAUUUGGCUUGUGGAAGAAGCUUGGACAGUAGGGGCAGAAGACUUUGGGGGUUAGAACACUUGAGUGGAAGAUAUUUGCAUAUGGAUGCUUAUUGGCCAGCGGCAAGACUUCCAAGCCCCUUAUCCCCCUCUCUUUCCCCCUCUCCCCCUCUUGCUCAACCAGCCCCAUUCCAUUUGCGAAACAUCUUCAGCUUCUUCAUCUUCUUCCAUUUCCUUGUUGCAAGCCACUAGGACCAACCAGAACCAACUAGCAUCAUCCGAGCCAGCCACUGUACCUCUUGACCCCCCGCGCUAGCUCCGAUUCCAGCCUGUGUCCGCGCCGCUCGAGCUGUCGCCUGCCUGAGUCCAGCGUGCGUCUGGUCCAGCCCCGACACCGCCUUCGACCGCCGUUCGACCCGCAAGCCCCUGCCUAGCCGCCAGCACCGCCACCACUCCACGUUCGCCUCUCCAGCCAGCCUGCUCGUCCCCCGGCAGCCUCUCGGUUCAGCCACCUCAAAACAAAAAGCCAGCUCAAGUUGUGAGCUUGCUAAGCCUUUUUCAACCCCUUCCGGCUCUCCUUUGGAGUCACCAUAGGCCCGAAUCUUGGUCGUCGUUGCGCCGCCGUCGCCAUAAACCCGUUAGCUCACUUAACCGGCGAGUUAACAUCAUAAUCUCUAAUUAAGGGGUUAAUUGCACUUAAGGAGGAUUAGUUAACUUUAAUUAAGAGUAGAGUAAUUUAGUUAUGCCAACUAUUUAGUUAGUUUAGUUUAGUUUAGUUAGGCCAACUAGUUAGUUAGGUGGAUUAGUUAGGGUAUUUAGUUAGCCUAUUAGAUUAAAUUAGUUAGUUUAAUUAGAUUAGUUCAGUUAGGUUAUUUAAGUUAAUUAAGUGGUUCAAUUUAAAUAAUUUACCAUUUAUUUAAUUAAUUAUUAAUUAGUGUAAAUUACACCGAGGUAGCCGGUUGUCAAAAUUUUAUGUUGAUCAUCAUGGUUGCAUUGAUUUGUGAAAUUGAGUGCUUGGUGAUGAUUUCUGAAUUAUUAUUUCAAAAAUAUGAAUUUUUGGUAUUUAAUUAGAAAAAUACCGAGUGUCGGGUUUUGACGUCAAAAAUGUUUUAUGUACUAUAUAAAAUCGUGAAAUUUUGAAAAGAGAGUAUAUCAUGUUUUGUGGAUCAAUUUGAUUGUGUGACCAAGCACAAUUAUUUUAUCGGAUAUUUUAAUAUGAAGAAAAUAGGCAAAGUCCAUUAUUUGAAAUUGAGGCAUUUGAGUGCAAAGCACGAUAUCCUUGACCGAGCAUGGAUGUGUGUGUGAUCGCUAUCGGAACCCGUCACCUGAUGAAAGUAAGGGGCGAUGUCUGAUUAAGUUCAUAUGCCCCAUGUCAACGGAUGCUGGUCGCAGUGAAGGCUGAGCCGAUGCUCCUUUGAGAAGGCUGUCUAGAUGUCGAUGUUACUGUGCUCGACGAAGCGGGACAACGCCUGGUUAUGCCAGAUGACCGCCAACUGUUGAGUUGGCCAUGGCCAUUGGGACGUAAUUAAUUGAAACACGCUUAAGUGAUUGAUAUAGCCGCCUAAUUAUGAGAAGAAAUUGUGUGGCACGGAAUAUGACGUGUCAUAAUGAUUUGGCCUUAUAAUCGGGACCCCUGUAAUUGAUUGAUAUAUGAUGUGAGGUGUUCCAAUUAAUGGUUUACGCUUGCUGCGUUUAUAUAUGAUAUAUGUGAUGUACUAACGUGCAGGGAGGUGCUGAGGCGAGGUAAGUCUUAUAUGGUGCAUGUUUAGGCUGCAUUUAGGUGAAUUCUCAUCUUAAUCGGGGUUUAGGGUGUAGACUCGCUGAGAUUUAUCUCACCCCGUUGUGGUUUAAAUUUUACAAGUCCUUAGAUGGAGGUUCGACCCGUUCAUUUUGGGUGGCCACGAGAGGCCGAGACUCAGCGUACCAUUCUUCCUAUCCACUGGUCUACCUGGACCCGUGAGCUCAUAGUUACUACCAUUUGGGUCGAUGAGGGCCUACCUCAGUCAGUACCUCAUCGAUUUAAAGCAUGAUUCCGUCACAGGCUUGACGGGAUUCGGGAGAGCCCCUUGGAUGAUUUUGAUGGACCUGCCGUUGAUGAUGAGUAUGUGGAGGAACUCGACCCUGUGGUCGACGCCAAUAUUAUAGCUGAUAUCGAGACGCACCAAGGACCUGAGAUGGAGGAGCCUGCAGUAGAGGUAGCUGAUCUUCUAGACAUCGACAUCCUUGACGGUGUCGUAGUAGACCUGGAUCCCUAGUAGGUAGGGUCCGGGGUAGGGUUAGUUUGGAAGUUUCUUUUGAGAUAGACCUCCUGUAUAUAAAUUGUAAGUUUGACCUGGCUAUAUAUAAAGUGUGUUUAUAAAGUGUGGCUUAUGUUAAUUGGUCAUCCUGCUUUCAUAUCCCAUAUGUUUGUUUCUUGUCUGGAGAUUAUUAGUUCGCUUUCGCAUGUGCAUAAAAUGAAUGGGUCGGCGACGAGUCCUGAGAACGUCGCAAUUCUAUUGACCACCGAAGGAUGUUCGCACGCUCGAGAUUCAGGACAUGACACCUUAAGUAAGAAAGGGUUAUUCAAUCUUAGGACUGUAGAGUGUAGAGCAACGAGUAUAGUUCAAGACCCAUUGAUCAGAUGUCCUACUAGCUUUUUGUACAAGCUAUUAGGGACGAUUUUGUCACGUCCCAAUAGUGCUGGCAUGAUGUUAAAGUAUAACCAUGUCCAACUAUAAUGAGAAAGACAACUUUCCAAGAGUAUAAACGGGCUUCUGCAUAAGAGAUACUAAGAAAAUUUUAGAUAGGGAGAUCAUUUUCUCAAAAAGGAAUCAGAGUGGACCUUAUCUCAAAUGAGGACCUAAAAUUGGGCCAUUUUUUUCAAAGGAGAGCCCAGGGUAGACCUUGACUAAAAAAAACCUGAAUUGGUUAAUGUAAUCUCAAAUAUAAGCCCAAACUCAACGACAAGCUUGCACGUGCCACUCAUGUGCGACUCACGUGCAAUUUACGCGCGACUCACAUAUACCUCAUGUGAGAUUUAUGUCCGAUAUCUUGGCAUUUAGUUCUUUAUCAAGUAGCACAUCUGUCGCUUUUCUGUUCCUAUGAACAAUUUUCAAUCUAGAUUCCUCAUGAAGCAAAUCCCUUUGCUAUUCCUAAACAUAUUUUCUUCUUGUGGCCCAGUCCAACUCAAUCUAUUACUCAUCUCGUCCUAGGAAGAGAAAGAAAGUUAAGUUGAAUGAUCAUUAAUAGCAUAUUAGUUAACUUAGGCAAAAUCAUCUUUUACCAAAAAACGUAUGGGGGAUGCUAUUGUUCUCCAGAUAUUCAUAAAGUGGUAACAAUUGAUUUCCUUCAAUGCACAACCAUAAAGCUAUACAAAAUUUGGGUGUUGGAGAGCAUAUAUCAUGCCUAUCUCAUUGAGAAAUUUAUGAUUGCCUUGCUUUGAUUUAGACGAAAAUUGCUUCACAACAAUCAUAGCUCCGCCCAAUAGUAUUCCUUGAGAUUAAUUAUUCAAUCAUAACCGAUCUUAUGUUAUUUCAUUAAAAAAAAUUAUUAGCUUGACAAGAUCUAGGUUGGUAAGUCUAAGAUAAAGACAAAUAUUGAAUUUAUCAGACACUUCAUGGAGAAUGAAGUUAUAAACAUAUUGUGAAUUACCUGGUAAGGUGGAUCAACCCUCAUUCACCAAUCUUAUUCACAGAGUCGAAGUUACCCAUAGCAGCUUUGGUUUGUCUUAAAGUGAAAUGGCUAAUCUGGAGAUCUAAUCCACGUAAUUUUGGGGGAAAAAAAAAACCAAGGUGUAUAUUAGGAAAGUCAUAAUAAUAAUCAAAGGAAAAGCACAAUUCUACAACAAACUCUCAAUGAUUCACCUAUAUGGCCAUGCCUCAUAAAAAUGCAAUCCUAGUUUAAAGAAAGAAAAAAAGGCCAACUUUUGUAGCAUCACAGUUUACUUAUAAGAAUUCCAUAAAAAAUACAAAAAAAGUAGACAAAUACAGUCUUGAAUUAAGCAUCAUAUUUCUACAAUGAAUCAAAGAGUGACAGAUUUCUAUGUGAGCAUAUCUGUUAGUAUGAUAAUCUCACAUGGAUCUUCAACUUCUCUAUCGCCUAAGAAUCCUUUUAGCCAAAUGACUAGUAAUAUCAAAACAAGGAGAACCAUUGAAGCUGUCACAAUUCCAAUGAUUACUCUAGCUAAUAGUACAGGACUUCCAACAUCAUAGUUUUCAACUUAUCUAUCGCCUAAGAAUUCUAUUAGCCAAAUGACUAGUAAUAUCAAAACAAGGAGAACCAUAGGAGCUGUCAUAAUUCCAAUGAUUACUCUAGCUGAUAGUACAAGGCUUCCAACAUCAAAGUUUACAAGCAAGAAAAAAAAGAUAGAUUUCUACUCGAAUGCUUCAAUGAAAACAUGAGAAAAGAAUGAUAGAAAUCUAUGCAUUUAACAUUGACUUACUUGAUGUUGCUGCAAUAGCAGAAAUAAGUAGUCCAUGGGUAUCUCUAUCUGGACAUGAUUCCCUUCUCUAACCAAUAUAAAGGAAUCUCCAAAAAAAAUUAAAGAAUUAUUAUUAUAAUAAGAAUUAAGAAGAAGAAGAAGAAGAAGAAGAAGAAGAAAGAGGGAAAGCGAGACCGGGCGGGGGUGGUCCGACCUCUUUCCUUUCUUUUCCAUUUUCUCUUCCACUUGGGCCUGGUCCAGCCCAAACCCAUUCAUGUUUUUUUUUUUUAACCCCCAGGCCCGGCCUUCUCGUUUUCUCUGGCUCUCUUCCUCCUGUCUUGAACGUUGGCCGAAGAGAGGGGGGAGACAGAGAGGAGGACGAGCUUCUCGUCGGAGUUGGCGGUUGGGGCAGGCCAGCAACGACAGCUGGCAAAGGACGAGGCCACGCGCGCCCGCUUGAGGGCUUAAGGGGGGCUGGUUUGAGGAUUUUUAAGGGGGGCUCGAGAGAGAGCGAGAGAGGGAGAGAGGGAGAGCAACCGAGAGAGCGAGGACCAGAGAGCGAAGAGUGAGGGUCGUGAGUGAAGGGCCUACUCCGCGCCUGGACCUCCGCCGCCGACCCCGCCGACGCGCGCCUCUCCCUACAGUAGGACUCGGUGCGUUUCUUUUUUCAUUUGUCACGGGCCGUGUCGAUUUCCCGAGGAUCCCGAUUCGGAGGCGUGCGAGGCGAUCGGACGUAGCCCGAUCUUUUGAGCUCCCCCGCCGUUCGCCGCCCCCGAGCCGGGUAGGCAGUUCGUGCGAGUCCCGGCGCCGUCGGUUCUGUGCUCGGCAGUUUUUGGUGUUUGCUUUUUGAUUGUUGAGAGUCUGGCGCGAAUCCGAGUUCUCUCCCGUCUGAGGUGCAGUGGAACAUGAACGAGUGUGCAGUGGAAGAAGGCCGUUAUGUGGCUCCCCUCUCAGUUGACUCGCCCCAUGUGUUCGACGUAAUGCCUGAACUAGAUUUGCAUUGGUUUUCUUGACUUUUGGUCAGCGUUUGUUGGUGGUCGGAGGAGGUGACUCACGGCAGGUGUUGAUGUGGUCGCCCGAGGAACGGACGGCGUCGACGAGAGGGUCGAGGGUGUUGCCGGAGGCGCAGUCAGUGGCCGGCCAUCAUGGCUGUCCGUGGAGGCCACGGUUUGGUGGUUUGGGCGUUCGCGUUCGGUGGCCGCGGCUAGAGUCGCUGUGACCGGUGAUGAUGAUCGAACAUAGUGGCCAACGGUGGAGGGAACGAGCGAAUAUUGAUUGACCGCAAAACAUAAUGUCACGGCUGGAGUUUUAAUGCUCUUGAAUCAGUAAGCAAAUCUUCGGGUGUUCUGGGCGUGCUCGAAGAAGAAGACGUUGAGGAGCAGAAGUUGGAAUCUUGGGAAUGAGAAAUCUCAGCCCAUGGCCCAGCCCGAAGACCAGCGGCAGGCAGCCCCGUUCCCCUUUUUGGAUUUAAAAAAAAUUAAAAAAAAAAUAUAUUUGUAUUAAAGAUAAAAAAAAAAAAUCCUGAAUUAAAAAAAAAAUCAGAACAAGCUUAAAAAAUAUUUUUUUGGGGUAGUCUCCUCUUAAAAAGUAAGAGCCUUUUGAUCUAAGAUUAUGCUCGAAUUUGAUUAAGCCCUUAAGGUUCUACCUUAUGACUUCAAUCGUCCUUGGAGACAAAUGCUUCUGAUUACACACUUUCGAUAUGAUGGUUAUAGCUUUCCUUUAGCCUAGUUAAGAUUGGCAUGUAUUUAUCUCUUAGUGUUAGGUGCCUAUUUUUUCUUGCAAUUUAAUUAAUGCUUCUUUUAGUAACUAAUUGUUAUUUUAAUGGUAACGUGCCCACAUGAUAACCUGACAAAUAUUUUUUUUUAAAUGAAUAAGAUUGGGUAUUGAAAGGGCAUUAAUUGAUCAAUUACUAUAAGUAAGAUUUUUAUUUUAGAUUCUCUGAUUGCAUAGAAAGUGAGAUAUACUCUCAUGUUUCACUUGGUUUCUAGUCAACUGGUGACCCAUUAUUAGAAAAUUCUUAUAGCAUUAAUUUGAAUAUCCCAACGUGACGUAAGAUAUGAGCUUUGAAGAGUUUGCAUCUAAAGCGAGGGUUGUAUGCUCAGUUCUAUGUCCUUUCCUCUCUAGACGAAAAAGGUAUGUCACAACAUCUAGGUUAGCAAAUUUAAUGAUUAAAUUUGACGGAAGUUAACGGAGUAUAAAUUUAUCAUAAGUGUUGUUGUGACCUCUCUUUUGCCGUUUGUGGGAAAAUGAAGAAGUUUAGGGGUAUUUGCCUAAAGAGGCGGACCAAUGGCCCUAGAUUAGGUGCGGGCUCUCCUAAGCCCAUACCUCACGCGACAUUGGAUUUUGUAUUUUAACUCUUAACAACCUAAAUAUUUCUAGGAAUUGCCACUAGUCUUUUGGGGUCGGUAAGAAAUCAAUCAAGACACGAAAGUGUUGUCUCAAUUCUUACACAACUAGAGAUUUCUAGGAACGGUGACUUAUUUAUGCCAAUGUUUCUAUUAGCGCCCUUACGAUACCACUAACUUGAAUGUUGUUUAUCUAAAUGGUAACACAAUUUUGAUUAACAAUUAUAAUCCUUAUGAAAUCACUAAGUGUCCAUACGAAUGUUUUUGUAGUUUUUUUUUUAUUUUUUUUUUAUGUCUAGACUAAUUCUAACCUCAUUUAAAAAAUAAAUUUACACUCAAAUUAUUGAAAAGCGGUGCGGUAAGUAAGCAUCCAAUAAAUUGAAAUGACUUAAAAGUAAAUGCGAAAAAGAAAAACCCAAUACAAGUUGGGUAAAUAAUAUUACAUGGCGUUAUUAUUACGCCCCGGGACAGGACCCCCAUGAGUGAAAUGAGAAUUUAAAUAUAUAUGAAAUUACUCCAAAUGCAUGUAAUUACUCUAAAUAAUUUUAAUCUACGCAAAAUGAAUUAUUUACAAAAAUGAUUAUAAAAUAUCAAAAUAGCAUCAAGUUAGGACAAUGACUUCAUAAAAUUAGGAAAAAUUUCAUAAAUGUCAUUUAUGCUCGAAGAGGCCACGUGAGUCCAAAGCAAAGAAAUGUAUUUGCCGUCAAGUACAAAGCCCUCCUCGCUUGAGAUAUUUUAACUUUUCUCAUGUCCCUUGCGAUGCAUGCGGUUUGAUUUUUUGUUCAAUUUUAAAUACUCGGAACUUUCAUAAUAUAAAAUAGGUUUUGCAACAUAAAUUAGAAUUUAAUUUUUUUUCAUAAUUUUGAAAAUUGGAGUUUUAUUUUGCAUUUCCAAGCGUCUGAUCUACAUAUGUUAUUUUUGAGGCAUUACUUUUCAGGUCAUUGUUAUCACUCCCGGACCCGGACUAGUUAGAAAGCUUAUAUGAGCAGCUCGAGUACGAGCGAAGUAAGUUUGACCUUAAAUAAUGUGUUUAGCAUAUAUUCCAAUUUAAAUGGGUGAGACACUUUGUCUACAUCGAUAGAGACUUCGAUAUGUUAAUAUACAAGUAACCAUUUAUGAAAGGGAUAGGCUAAGGUGCAAAAUAUUCCACCACUGUACAACUCUAUUAGUAUCUGAAUAAGUCUUGUGGGGCUAUCAUACUGUCUGCGUGAAUUUGAAAUUUGAACAUGUAUGAAUUUUUGGUUUUUAACCACUUUGACAAGAUAGGUUUUUCGAGAAAUAAUUAUUCAAAAAUUCUUAAACUUACCAUACAGCAGCUACUUUGAUUAUAAACUUUUCAAUUUGAUCAAUUUAUUCCAAAACAUUUUGAUGAUGAUUUUCUAAUAUAGUUCUUUUGGCCACAUUUUAACCUAGAAUUGCUUACAUGACAAUUUAGUCAACACUGGUUUUCUACGUAGCAUGACUAGUACUAGCGUGGAUAAUCUUUUUUAUUUCUUUUAAAUUUUAUGAAUGUUAGCUUUUUUUCUUUUUCCCUUUCUUUAUUUUCUUUUUUGAUAGCUAUCUUCGGCCAUUGAUAGAGGAGGAUGAAACUACUAUGGGAGGGGGUUCAUGAGUUUGAUGCCUCCACGAAACAAAGUUCAGUUUGUGAGCGACUCUUCUUUAGACAUUCAAUUAUUUCCUACAAAUGCUAANNNNNNNNNNNNNNNNNNNNNNNNNNNNNNNNNNNNNNNNNNNNNNNNNNNNNNNNNNNNNNNNNNNNNNNNNNNNNNNNNNNNNNNNNNNNNNNNNNNNACAAAUAGAGAAUUUAGAUUCUUAUACAAAAUACAAAAAAGAAGCCCAGGUCCAGCAUCAAAGUACUUACAUAUAAUCUACUCUUGCCAGGUUGCCAAAGGAGCUAGGGAUUUCACUACUCAGUUUGUUGAAGCAGAGGUCUCUACAAAACAAUUUGAUGGAAAGGAGACAAAUGUAAUGAGAAUGUCGUUUUAGCUGACUCACACUAGACACACUUUGAAUAUACAUUGGAGGAUUGUACAAACACAGGCUAGAUCAAUGAACCUACAGGUCCAGUUCAGAAGUUUAAACAUACAAGUCAACUGCCUGGUACCUAAGCUUUCUACUAGACAUUCGUUUCCAGAGGCAUUCAUUGCAUAAAAUCCUUGUUGAUCAAGUUGUUUACACGCUAUAAAAUAUACAAAAAUUCUCCUGUAAAUCAAAUUUACAACUUGAAAUUUCAAUAUAUAUAUAUAUAACUAGAAAUGCUACUUUGGCACUAAAUUCAAUGCAUAACUUGAAAUGCAACAUGUUAUAGUUCAAAUCGAGGGAUUCCAGUUGUCACGCCCCAAACCUCGAACGCGUGCCCAUCCCUCGGUGGUCGAUAGAAUUUGCGACUUUCCAGGACGAGUCGCCGACCCUUUUAUUUUAUUGCACAUGCGGAAGUGAAAAACAAAUCCCCUAACAGUAACCAUCUUGGGAUAGAAAAGCAGGACAACAGAUUCACAAACAAAAUAUGCUUUUAUAAACAUACUGAGUCAUAUACAAAAGUCAACAACCAAAAGUCUACAAAAGAUAGUUCUCCCAAAAGAAGCUGACCUAAUUGAUCUACUCCUCAGGUCCCCUAAGCUAGGCUCUAAAUCCAUCACUCUACGGUCUUGAAAGAAAUUGAGCUAACGACGGGGUGAGAUAUAAAUCUCAGCAAGUUCACACUCUAAACCCUGAUUAUGAGGGUAAUACGCCUAGAAGCGUCCUACACAACCACAGAGACUUACUUGGUCUCAGAUCUACCCUGUAGAACAGUACAAUUUAUAUCACAAACAACUGCAAACACGUGAGUAGCAAUUAAGCUCAUCAACUGGAAUGCCACACUCAAAAUUCAACCUAGCACAGGGGUCUUAAUUAUAGGGCCAAAUUAUUAUGACACAUCCCAUAUCGUACCACACAAUUUUGUCCCAUAAUCCGGCGCAUUCAACUUCACCCAACAUGCGUUCCAAUUAUUAAUCACGACCACACACGGGCAUGGCCUACUCGAUAUUCUGUGGUCUUCUGGCAUAGCCAAGUGUCGUCUCACCCCAUUGAACACGGCAACGUCACUAUUUCGACAGCAUUCCAUAAAGAAGCAUCGGUCCAGAAUCUAUUACGAUCGGCAUUUUUUUGGUAGGGCAUCUUAUAUAGGGGCACGUCCAACUCAAUAGCUCUGGAUGGGUUCUCUUAACUAACACACAACCAUCCAAUCUCGACUUAGAACACCGUGUAUUGUACUCAAAUGCCUCAAUUAAAAUGGUGAACCUGGCUUAUUUUUUUCGUAUUAGAAAUAUACGGUAAAAUAGUCGUGUGUGGAUAUACGGUCAACUCGAACCAUAAUAAGUGAUAUAUUCCAAUUUAAAAAUUUCCACUGUUUUAUAUAGUAUAUAAAAUCAUUUUCGGUGUUGAGAUUCGACAACUAGGAUUUCUUGAAUAAAUAUCGAAAUUCACAAAUUUUGGAAUAAAUGACCAAAAUUUUAAUCAACACUCAAUUUGCAUCAAUUAACACUCAAUUACAAAAAUUAACCACACAAUUGUAAUUAGCACAAAAUUCCAGUCAUCGGCUAUCCCGGUCUAAUUUUCGGAAAAUUUUUAAUAAUUAAAUAAUUACCAAAAUUAAUUAAAUAAUUCAAUUUAAAUUCUAAAAAUACUAACUUAGGCCAGAAGUGCCUAAUUAAAUACCGAAACGGGUCCCGAAAAUUUCCGAACCUAUAUAGAUAAAUAAUACAGCUUAUCUAGUUCCUAACUAAGCCGUUCUAACCACUUAACAUGCAUUUACUAGUUAAACCACUAAUCUAAUCUAACUAACCACCUAAUCCCUAAUUAACUUAAACUGAACACCUCUUAAACAUCAUUAGCCUAUUAAGUAGAGUUUAGUGCAUAAACUCACCAGUUUAACGCAAAAACCGAUUCACCACGAUGGCGACGCGACGACGGCUGAAACUUGAGCCCACGGCGACACCAACGAGGGCUUGGACCGGGCUGAAAAUGGCCAACAAGCUCGCUGCUCGAGCUGAGAAAACCAGCUCUGAAGCUGCUAGUUUCGGGGCUGCAGCUGCAGGCUGGGCUGAGUUCAAACGAUGGACUGAGAAGCGGGCUGAAGACGGGCUGGACUGCAAGUGGGCUGAAGCACGGACGUGCUGGGCUCGUGAAAUUCGCUGGCUUGGGCUGGCUUCGUGGAGAUGAGCUUUGGUGGUGGGUGGUCUUCGUGGCAGACGAAGGAGGAUUGGUGGGGACGGGCACGUGCGAAGGAGAGAGACGAAGAUGGAAGCUGCAGUGUGGCGUUGAGGGGAAGCUGCUGGGUCAACGAUGGCGCUUCUGCUGGGGAGAAGUUGACUCGUGAGGGCGUAGACGGUGGGGGACAGGCGGUAGUGGAGCUGCAGGUUGGGGAAUCGGACGCUGGCUUCGGUGGAGUCUUGGAGGUUAACACCGGCUUCGCUAGUUGACUUGGUGAAGGACGCGCGCUGGACGAGUGGCUUCGGUGGAUGUGCAGCUGCACGAAGGAAAGAGGGAAACAUGGAGAUUGGAGAGAAGCAGGUUGUGGUCUUCAGCUAAGGCAGACAGGAUUUCUUCGAAGAGGGAGAAAUGAAAGAAAGCAAAACAAAAACAAGGCAGAAACAGAUGAGGGAUCGAGAGAGAGAAAAUGCUUGAAGGAGGGAGAGGCGGCGGUCUUGGCGUGCUGGAGAAGCUGCUGAUGGUUGGGGGGGGGGAGUCAACAAACUUUAUUCACUUAAUUGAAUGCUUGUCCCCUAAAUCUUUCUAGCAUAAAAUUUCCAUAAAUAGCUCAAAUUGAUGCCAAGAAAUGCAGCCUCCUACCUAGCCCCGACUUUACUCGUAUUUGGCUUCAAUUCCUUAACGAAAUUCCCCAAUUCGACAUCCAAUUUUGAUGAAGAAGAAAGCCCACACAAUUUCUAAAAUUUCCUUUCACCAAGUAGCUCGGUAAGGAGGCCCAAAAUUCCUUCAAUUUGACCCAUAUGAAUUUCCGUUCUUUUCCAAAUCAUCCGAAAUAAUUUUCCGAAAAAAAUCUCAGGCUCGUCGAAAAUUCUUCGGAAGAUGAGUCGACGUUCCUAACAUAAAUCGUGACAUAACAGAACUUUCAAUUUCUGAAAUCGGGUUCAAAUUCGCGGUUAAUUUCAAUCUAACGUGAUUUUAGCGUGACCUAACCUAUUGGGUAGCUUUUAGGAGUUUUAAGUGCAAUUGACCUGUGAUUGAUUAUUUUCUAGCCACAAUAUGCAUUUUCUACCUAUUGGCGACUCUCAGUUGUCGUGAAAAUCUCGAGAUUUCAAAUACGGACACAGGGUACAAAAAUGACAGAAAAAUCGGUCUAGUGCCGUUACACAUGAAUUUUGCAAUUAGGUGGAAUCACCCACACACUAAUCACAUAUCUCUAUCAAAUCGACUUGUCUCUGGUCUCUAAUCGAUUUUUGACUGUGCUGUAAUGACCCUUGCAGAUUAGCACGGUCAAGCAAUCGAUUCCUGGUCAAAUUUUCAAGUCCAUUGCGUUAAAAUCCCUUAAUAGCUUCCCUAGAUAAUCUAGUUAUCUCAUGAGUGAUCAGCUCAGAGAAUAGCACUAUAGGCGCGUCCAUGAAAGGCCUGGUUCAUUUAAUCAAAAACAAAAUUUGAAAAUUCAUACUGUCACACCAGUGAUCUAAUAGGACCAAAACUAAAGCAAAUCAUAAUGUACUGAACAGAUCUCCUCUAUAACAUUUUAUUCAUGAAUAAAGGGAUGACAACUAAAUACGAGGGCGCUUAGAAAGUAGAAUAUGAUCUUGAGUGAAUAAAAACUAGAAAAUAAGCGAGGAAUAAAAAAAGGGACAGCAUGAUUCUGCAGUCCAUUAUAAUUAUCGACGGAAAAAUUAAAACCUAGUCAAAUCUAGAGAAAAGGAAAUGGACUAUAUGAUAAGCCACAGCAGAGCCACAGCAGGACCACAGAAAUUCAGUUUUCACUCAUAUGUCGUCACGAAUCCGAGGGUGAGAAGACUACUGAUAUGUUUUGUGCAAAGAAAUGGAAGGACUUGACAUGGAAAGGGUGGAGGAAAAAUAUGGACGCAGCUACACAGAAACAUUAAAAAAAAAAAAAAACCUCAGGAUUUAAAGCCUAAUUCGAUAAUAAUUGAAGUAGAUAAGACUCAAACUAUAAAAGUGGUACUCUCACCUGAGCUGAAUGGUUGGCCUGUACAUGAUUCCAGAUCUUUGCCAAGCCAAGGAUCGUGCAAGACCCAAACUAAAGGAUUUAUCAGGCCAUUGCACCUUUGGUGUGACACGUGUACCCCAUUUGUUCUGUCAUUCCGAUAAAUGUAUCAUUAACCCCAAAAUCAACCACAAAGAUGGGAAACAACUACAACCACCGUAAACAGCUCUAAAUAUUCUUCUCGACUUUUUUACCAUUACGCACCUUACUAGAGCAGCUGAACCUCAUCUCUCCUAGGUAUUGACCCUCAGCUUGAAGAAUUUUGCGACAGACAAGUAUGAAAGCACUUGUUGUCAGCCCCUCACCAGAUACGUAGGUGACUGGCCAUUUGGAAAUUGCAAUUUCAAAUCCAAGAAUGACUCCACCAGGAGAUGACAGUGACAUUAGAAUCAGCCACACUAAAAUGCAUGUGUGCGUGUGCGUGCGUGUACGUGUGUAUGUGCCCUCCUGCAUAUUACCCAAUGUACUGGGCAUGUUCCAUUUAAGCAGGAACACUCCAAAGAAUAUAACAUGUACACCCAACUUCUGAAAACCAAAAAGAUCAAUGCCAACCUAAUUCACCUUUAAUCACCAACCAAAAAGGUCCUCAUACACAUUGAAGGAUGAGAACCAUAGACUUCCUAAGAGGCAAACCAAUUUUUUGGGGCAAUACCCAUAGUUUAAAAAAGUAAUAAACUUAGGAUUAAGGCAGACCAUUGACAUCAGGAGCCAACUUCGAUGCUUUGACCAUACAGCGGGACAAAGGAAAUGGAUCCCAUUCUUAUAAUUGGGGGAAAAAAAGUCAGAUGAAAACAGAUACUUAAAUAAUAAAAGAAUUGACUGCUUGACAGUCGACGGUAGCAGAGAGAAAACAUGGCAUCCCAUGAUAUGUUGACCUCUGUCAAUUUCAAACUAUAAAUGAGAAAAACAGGACAUAACUUUCUGCACUGCGAGUUGCACUUGAAAACAUCCAAAUUGGCAAGAUUACAUCAGACUACUACCACAGAAAAUUUUGAGAUACUAUACUACAGAAGAAUUUUAUGUUCUUCCUCAUCAACUUCUAAGUGGAAUAUCCUGGAUCUGGAAACAGAGAGAAAUAAUAGCAAUGCUAGCAAAAAUCAGCUGCUCUUAUGAAAAUAUCAUAACAAGGCACUAAAUUCUCAGGGGUUUACAUCAUAAUGCAGCCACCGAUUUUGACUAUGAGAGUACUACAAUGCAGUCAAACCGCAUUUGCAUAGCACUUCUUAAUCCAACAGCUUCAUGAAUAUACAAGAAAAGUUGCCUCACCAGAUAAAUAUCAGGAAAGACAAUUCGACAGACUUUCAUUUUAGUUUUGUCAGAAGCAUUUGAGCAAAUACGGUCAAUUCAAAGGCAUGUGAAGAAACCUUUCCUUGUUUGUUUCUUUCACAUGUUGGGACAUGGUAAGCUGCAAUAGAGUCCUAUUCAUACCUUCCUAUCAUAACCAUACCAAAGCAAGAGUCGCUUUGAUAAACGAAUGGAAAGGAGUAGCGUAGAAUCAUGAACAAAAAGUUCUGGUCCUAGCUGUACAUGGAAAAGAGAUGAACCGUCACUCCCUCAUGUGGAACUCCCCUGAAGCCUCCGCUCUCCACAAAUCCCCUCGCGCAACAAGAGAACUCUCUACAUCACGCGUCUGGCUAUCAUAAGUCGAUGUAAAAUUCACUGUUCCCUGAAUUCAAGUAAGUUUCAUGUCUGUGUUAGUGCCUUAAAACAGGUAAUCUGAGAUCUAUUCAACACUAAAGAAACAAAGCAUUCAGGCUAUCGCUACACACAGAUACAUAAGAUUCGCCAUGACCAUUCGAUGGACACGGUUCGUUGCAUUACAAAAUUCUUAGCACCAGAACAACCCACAUGGAUUAGAGUUACGAGAUUCAGUUGCCAGUGUCUUGCCUGGACACAAGCUGACACAAGCUUAAUCCUUAAUAUCAAUCUUCUUACCUUUCCCAAUUACGUAAAAUUUCUGCUGGUAUUCGCGCUAGCUUAACACAAUAAUCACACGCCCAAACUUGUUCAUCCAAAAUUAAUUACACCAUAAAAAACGUCAAAUUAUAUUCAUGAAACUCAGAAAAAACUUCCCGGAAAGUCCAAUAAUUGCUAUCAUACAACUCUUAUUUCUCAAAAUGGGGGAUGUUAACUACAAGCAUCAAUAGGAGGUCCGCCACAGUCAAAAGGUUCGAAACAAAAGGCAAUAAAGUUUCUAGACAGUCAACCACUAGAAGCCUCCAUUGAGGUUAGUAAAUUAGACGAAACAGGCACCCCAACCAAGGUAAGGACUUCGAUUCCCAGAAAAAGUGACAAAAGGUCCAUAUACUCUCGUGGGAAACUAUAUAUUCUAGGGCAGAGGCCACAAUCACCAGAAACUUAAAUGCCACAUCACGAUUCGCAACUGUUGAAAUCAACAGAGAAGAACAAAACACUAUUGAAGUGAGUAAGAGACCUUCAAGCCAUCUUAAAUGAGUUCUUUAACUGCAACCAAUGGUCUAUGAAGGAGCAAUCGGUCUACAGUGUCUUAAUAUCUUUACAGUUAAGUUGUGGAACUCGGGACUUAAGUCCAUCAAGGUCACUUAUUCUCCUGCAAAAUCAAAUAGGGAACCUCAUUAGAUCAAUAGCAUUUUAAAGAAAGGAGAGAUGAGAUUGAAAUGCCUAACUUCCAGACUGACAACUCAGAUAAAUUCUUCGAAAGUGCAAUCCCAAAGUGAAUCAGCCCUAGCAAUCCACUUGAUUGAAUAGCCUUGAUGACACGAUUCAUAGAUUGAAUUAUCUCGGGGGUAUAUCUAUAUAGACCGACUUAAGAGGUGAAGAGCAUGAAGCCUGAUAGUCUGUUGAGAUAUUGUCAACUUCUGAAUAAAAUCCGGUAUCUUACCCGCAAACUGAUUAUCACUGAGUUGCCUACAGCGCAUUAAACAACAAGAUUCAUAUGAAGAAGAAUAGCAAAUGUUUGAGGCAGCUCCCCGGUGAAAUUAUUUGACGUAAAGUGCCUGAAACAAGAAAACCCAAUGGUACCACAUGGGUUAAUAGAACUUGGAUGCUGACAUCUCAACAGAUCAAUUGAUAAAAUUCCCAAGCCGGAUACGACAUCAUCAGCGAAUACAAAGUGGAUGCCUAAGCCUAACACAGGAAUUUGCAUCAAGAGACUCACAAUUGAUGUAACUGGGACAAGUUACCGAGCUCUAUAGGAAGAGGUCCAGAAAGCCGAAUGAUCUCGACGACUCCGAGCAGAAUAAGAAUGUUAAUAUCUUCAAGCGGCGGGAUGAGUGAUCGCUUACGAUUUCCAAAGUGUGGAUAUGGUUGCUGGCUCCGUCGGGAUUGGACCAGUCAAUCGAUUUCCGAGUAGGGAACUGCACCCACAUCAUCGCGUUUCCCCCAAUCAAAUAGAAGAUACACUCGCGGUUCACAAGAGGGGAGAGAGAGGGAGAGAGAGAACAUACAUGUUGAGCAACUUCGUAUAUCCCCUUUCUUUAGGAAUUGAACCGCUCAGGUAGUUGCGGGUGACGUCACUGUUUACAGGAGAUUGAGAACUCUCUUUUCACGGGACAAAAGGUCUUGCUCUGUUUUUUGCUUAAAAAACCUAGGCAUCCAGCAUAAUUAAUGAAUGGCGCCUGAUAAAGGAGAGAAUAGCAUCAGAAUUCUCAAAAUGCCCCUAAUAUCAGAGUUAAGAGGGACUAGACUAAUCAUCUCUUUGUUAUUCAAUCAUGAUUCUUGAGUUUAACACCCACAUAGAUCGCUAAUAUAUAACUCAUUUUAUCAUAUAUUUAUCUGUAUUUUAAUACCACUUUCAUGAUUAUGAUUACGUGUUAAGCAUAUAACAUGUGAUUAUACUGAAUAAAUAUCAUUUUCCUAGUUAUUAUCACUUAUUGACCAAAAAAAAAAAAAUAGUAAUUAUCAAUGAUGAGUGAUACCUCAUAAAUAUAUAUUAUCAAAAUGACGUUAAAAAUGUUGGCUCUAUACAUCUAUCUAUAUUAUCAUAUUAAUUAUCGAUUCUAAAUGAUAAUAUUCUUCGAAAAUGAGCUCACGACAGGAAAGGUUUUAUUUGAAGCAAAUGAAUAUAUAGUUAAUGUGAAAAGCAUGCCUCACUCAAAGCACAACCUUGCCAUGCAUUUGUUUUGAAUGACAUAUGUAAUGAGGAUAGACCAGCAUUAGAAUUUUCGUAUUACCCCGACAAUUAAAGUUAGAGGGAAUAUAACAAUUAUCGCUUUGAUAUUCAAUCGUGAUUUUGAGUUUAACACUUUGCCAAUCGCUCAAAACAUUUCAACUUAAAAAUCAGCUUUUCCUUACAAAAUACUAAUACGGUGCAAAGAUAAUUGGUUUGAUGUUUCUCGCAUUAGCUAGUUGAUAUCAAAAUCUAGUUAGCAAUCUAUGAUCGUAAAAUUCAUGAAAUCGAGAGAGAGAGACAUGUUGCUGACAUGGGAAACGGUGGUGGUGUUGAAGUUUCGGCAGGUGACGACAGCGGUAGUUGCAUUAAUCACGUUGUUGUUGCCCUAUCCACACUACACUAGAUGAUCUGCAUUGAAAUCGCAGCCCGUUUUCCCUAACAUUGCUGCUAUCCCUUUCAACGCAUCUACCGAAAGAGAAAAGAGCGGACGAAGUUGGACUGGUGGACAAGGUACAGGAUAUGCGUGAGUGUUGCGUGGGCCUUGGCAUAACUUCAUGAAGAAUCAAGGUUGAAGAUUGUGCAUAGAGACAUCAAAGCUACUAAUGUUUUACUCGAUAAGGAUCUCAACCAUAAAAUAUCAUAUUUUAGUUUAGCAAAACUUGAUGAGGGGGACAACACAAAUUAGCACCAAGAUCGCUAGAAGUUAGUAAAGUUUCUUACUUUUUGUUUCCAUUUACCCAAUUUACUAAUUUAGAGCCAAUGACAACAUAAAAGCAUGGUAUAGAAACAUUUAGUCUGAUUAAGAACAAUGAGUUGAAUGGAGCUUUGUGGUUGAUUCACAUCAUCCCAAAGCAUGGAGCUCAACAAAUGUGGCUUGAUCACAAAGUUUUAUGCCAGUCCCACCAAUCUUCACGUUAGUUGGGAAAAAAAUUGUUAAUCAUGUCACAUACUUUGCCAUUAUGACAGCCUAUAAUCCAUGAUAGUUUGGGGGCUUUCAACAUCAGAGUCUACGAGCAAAAAAAACGAUAGAUUUAUGCAACUGUACUUCAAUGAUAACAUGAUGAAAUAAUGAUAAAGAUCAGUGCAUUUAGUAUUAACUUACUCAGUCUCACUACAAUAACAGAAAUAAGUAAUUCACAUAUACCUUUAUCUCGAUGCAAUUCCCUUCCCUGACCAAUAUAAACGAAUCUCCAAAAAAUAAAAGUUUAAAGAAUUAUUAUUAUUAUUAUUAUUAUUAUUAUUAUUAUUAUUAUUAUUAUUAAAAAAAAGAAGAAGAAGAAAGAGGGAAAAGUGAGACCGGGCAGGGGUGGACCGGCCUCUUUCUUUUCCUUUCCUUUUAUUCUCCCACUUGGGCCUGGCCCAGCCCAACCCAUUACUUUUUUUAUUUCACCCAGGCCCGGCCUUCUCGUUUUCUCUAGCUCCCUUCCCUUUGUCCAGAACGUUGGCUGGACGGGAGACAGAGAGGACGGCACGGAAAAAGAGACCGUCGCGUCGGAGUUGGUGGUCGGGGGCAGGCCAGCAACGACGGCUGGCAAAGGACGAGGCCGCGCACGCCCGCUUGAGGGGUUAAAGAGGGCUGGCUUGGGCUCGAGACAGAGCUGAGAGAGGGAGAGCAACCGAGAGAGCCAGGGCUAGAGAGCGAAGAGUGAGGUCGUGAGUGAAGGGCCUCCUCUGGUAGCCACCGCGCCUGGACCUAGGCCGCUGACCCUCGCCGACGCGCGCCUCUAUCGAGCUCACCCGCCUUUCGCCGCCUCCGACCCGGAUAGGGACCCUUGGCCGACCCCCUGCUUGUGUCCUGUUUUGCCCCAUUUCAUGCUCGCCGGACCAGGCUUUGUCGUUGUCCAGUUCAUGCGAGUCCCGGCCCUGUCGGUUCCAUGCUCGGCCGUUUUGGUCUUUGCUUGAUGAUUGUUGGGAGUCUGUCGCUAAUCUGAUUUUUGAUUGUUCUGUGGCUCCCCUCUCAUUUGACUCAUCCCAUGCGUUCGACGUAAUGCCUGAACUAGAUUUACGUUGGCUUCCUCAGUUGACCCCCUCUUACUUGGUUUGCCUGCAAGGAAUAUAUGCUUCUGAUGUCGACAAAUUCCUUGAAUUGGUCUUUGAAACGUCGACCUUUUGGAAGUAUCCGAAGAGUUGGUUAAACAGUUAAAGUAAGAGCAAUGUUUCAACAAAAAGAAAAAGAAGAUCGAUGUAAUUUUCAACUCGGAGUAACAUAUUUGGCAUAUAUUCCAAUUCGAAUGGGUGAUACACUUAUCUACAUUGAUGGAGACUUAGAUAUGUUAAUAUACAUGCAACCAUUCGUGAAUGGGAUGUGCUAAGGUGCAAAAUGUUCCACCUAUGUACAACUCUAUUAUUAUAUGAAUAAGUCUUGUGGGGCUAUCAUAUCAUCACUUACAGAGAAUUUCAUAUUCAAAUAUGUAUAAAUCUUCUUUCUAUGUAACCUUUUUGACAAGACGGCUUUUCUAAGGGAUAGUUGUCGAAAAAUUCGUCAAUUAAUCAAUGGAGUCAAUUAUAGUGAUCCUGCUACUGUGAAAAAAUAUGCUAGACGUGCCCAAUUAGGUGAAAUUUUUGAAUUAUAUCAUGCUACUUUGAAAUCUGAUGGUGUUUUUCGUAGCAGUCCAAGGGGUUGGUUUACUUUUGGACAUGCUUCGUUUGCUCUAUCAAUUCAAUUUUAAAGUUUUUAAUUUAAUUAAUUUAAUUCUAAAUAUUUUAAUAAAUAUUUAAUAUAAUUAUUUCAGUUAAUUUUGGUUUGAAAUUGUUGAGGUUGACAAAUUUUUUUCCAUUUUUUUAAUUUUAUGAAUUUUUCAUUUUUUUUCUUUUCCUUCAUUUCUUUUGUUUCUUUUUCUUUUUGUUUUUUUUUUUUUUUGGCUCAUGGCCGAUCACUUACCAAGGCCAUGCCUGCCUAGAUCUAGGCAAAGCCAUCACGACCCUUACAGGGCAAACCUCACUUGUGGCUGAUGAGCAUGGCCCUCGCUUGAUUCGACCAUUGAUAGAGGACGAUAAAGUUAUUGUGGGAGGAGGUUGAUGCAUUUGAUGCCUCCUUGAAACAAGGCUUCAAAUUGCGAGCGACUCUUCAUUGGAUGGUCAAUGAGUUUCUUGCUUAUGCUAAUUUAUCUGGUUGGAGUAUAAAGGACGCACCGCGUAACCUUCUUGUGCUGAUUUGAUAGAUUCAAAAUGGUUUAGUCAUGGAAGGAAGUUUUCUUAUAUGAGACAUGGAUUGAAUCUAAAUCAUCCUUUCCAAUUUGAGAAGCAAGCUUGAUUCUUAGUCAUAUAAGAAAAAGAUUUUCCUCUCGAAUUCUUCACUACCACUACGGUUCACUUGACACAUGAAGCAAGCUUGGUGCACUAGGGCAAUUAGAUACAUGUACCUUAUCGAAGGCAAACAUUCCCUCAAUUUAGUAGGCCCUUCAUAUCCUUUAUCCAUGAAUGCCAUAUGUGUAAUGGGCUGUUAAUGAGGUUAAGUCCGAUGUUCGCAAUUAUUGAAAUAUUUAAAUAAUAAGCCACGCAUUCAUGUGACAAUAUAAAGUUUUAAAAUGAUUGGUAAUAAAGGUCUGAGUAGGGCUAUUUUCUUAAAAAAUGAAUCGAAGUGGACCUUAUCUCAAAUAAACGCUUGAAGUAUGGCCAUUUUCUUUAUAAAAAAAAAAAAAAAAAGCUCAAAGUAGACUUUAUCUCAAAUAAAAACCUGAAUUUGUUAAUUUAAUUUUAAAUAAAGGUUCGAGUUCACCGACCAGCUUGCACGUGUGGCUCAUGUACCAUUUAUGUGCAACUCAUGUGCGAUUUACAUGCCACUCACGAGCGACUCACGUGUGAUUUACGUGCUACCCCAUCUAAUUCACGUGUGAUUUAUGGUAGCGACCUUAAGGAGACAAUAACGAAGAACCAUCAAAGAACCUUAAGAGAAAUUUGCAAAGAGAAGAAGAUACCAACACAAGAACAUGUUGAGAUCAAAUGAAACACCCAACUUAUUUUAGCAACUUAUGAUGUCUUCAAACUUGUCCAUUCCCCAAUGGAUUUGAGCCAACAAGCAAGCAAUUUCUCAGAAUCAUAAUAUGUGAAAAUAAUAGUUAAUGGUAAGCAGCCAUAAUAAAAAAGAGACGAAAGAAAGAUAUCAAAUAUUCAUUGUAUUGAGCUCACAAAGUCUCUCAUGUUCAUAUGCUGCAAAUUAGGAAAAUUUGAGCUUGGACCUUUCAAAUUAGAUACUCCUGGAUGCGUAUAAAACCACUCCAUCACCUAAUAUUAACAACCCUUCUACAUUUUCGCAAUAAAACACAAUCUUACAAGAUCAUAAGAGACAAAGAACAAAUUGCACAUGAUCAAAUGCUCAAAACUCCUUCUAGUUUGUCAACAAAGAUAUGGUUGAAGGAAUAGGUCCCUCAUAGAUGUGCCUUGAAUGUCCUUGAAAAAUUAAUGCCGUAAUAUAACAACAACUUUCAAGUAUCUCAUAAAUCAUGCAAAUAAAUCUUUUUGGUCCUAAUUGAGAAGAAUUGAGAUACACACAAUAUUGUAAUUUUGAUCCAAUUCCUAAUAAUAUCAUGUAUCUUUCCUAUUAAUGUGUUUCCAUCUAUAUGAGUACAAGUGAUCUAUAAAUCAAAAUCCCCCAAAGGCAAUCCAGUAUGUUGAGCAAUAAAAAGUAUUAUGAUGUCACUUACAAAUCUUCUAAUUUCUUUGGAUUGCCAAAGGAUUCGUGUAUUGUUUCCUUGAGAACAUUAGCAGAUAGAAGGCUGCGAAAACAAAACUAGGAAUUAGGAAUACUGAAGGAUCAAGUCUCAAUGUGUAAGUGGACAUAACAUAGAGAAAAAUGCAUUUUCAUCUCCUCAAAUAAGUUUAACUUAUUGAAUGGUAAGUGAUAUCUUAGUGAGAGUUGUGGGGAGCAAUCCACUUAUGUAGUUACCAGUGAGGUCUCUGCUUGCAAAGAAUGCUCACUUUAGAACUUCUACAAUUCUCAAGCAAUAGUUUGUCAAAAUUCUGACAAAUUAGUUGAUUUAGAUUCCUACAAAUGCUACAUUUCUCAAACAAAUACAUGCUUAAGAAAAUUGACAACCAUGUGCUUAAGAAAGAUCAUUCAACAAUUACGAAAAACAAUGUCGAUAAUAAGAUGAGGUGGAACAAAAUAGUCUUCACUCAACUCAUAAAAUGCUUUUAUGUGAUUUCGUCACAAAAUAAAGAAACACUGCCCAUCAUACACAUUUAAGUCCUUUGGCCUAAUUACCUUUUAUAUGGGAAGAUCUCAUGCAAUCAAGUCUAACUCACAUUUCUGUUAGGUAAAUGAGGUUGUAGAAUUCAUCAGGAAAAAUCAUUGUUAAAUUAAGUCUCUUCAGUUAGCUACGAAACAAAGAACAUACUUAGAGAAACAAAAAUAAAUUGUUGGUUCAUACAUACAUCCUUGUGACAUGGAAACUAUGCUAUUAAUGAAGGCACUAUUGCAAGUCAUGCUCUUCUAUGUACUUAUUUUACUUGGCAUGUUUUGUAGAUAAGUACAAAAUGCUUUGGAGUGAGAGGUAGCGCCCCUUGGUUAAGAUGAUUAAAAUUGGCUUGACCUUAGUAAGAAAGGGUUAUUCAAUCCCAGGAUUGUAGAGUGUAGAGCAAUGAGUAUAGUUUAGGACCCAUUGAUCGGAUGUCCUAUGGCUUUAUGUACAAGCUAUUGGGGACGAUUUUGUCACGUCCUAGUAGUGCUGGCAUGAUGUUAAAGAAUAACCAUGUCCAACUAUAAUGAGAAAAACAACUUUCCAAGAAUAUAAAUGAGCUUAUGCACAAGAGAUACUGAGAAAAUUUUAGAUAGGGAGAUCAUUUUCUCAAAAAGGAAGCAGAGUGGACCUUAUCUCAAAUGAGGACCUAAAAUUGGGCCAUUUUUUUUCAAAGGAGAGCCCAAGGUAGACCUUGACUCAAAUAAAAACCUAAAUUGGUUAAUUGGUUAAUGUAAUCUCAAAUAUAAGCCCGAACUCACCGACAAGCUUGCACGUGCCACUUAUGUGCCACUCACGUGUGACUCACGUGCAAUUUACAUGCGACUCACGUAUACCUCACAUGAGAUUUAUGUCCGAUAUCUUGGCAUUUAGUUCUUUAUCAAGUAGCACAUUUGUCGCUUUUCUAUUCCUAUGAACAAUUUUCAACCUAGAUUCCUUAUGAAGCCAAUCCCCUUGCUAUUCCUAAACAUAUUUUCUUUCUUGUGGACCAAUCCAACUCAAUCUAUUACUCAUCUCGUCCUAGGAAGAGAAAGAAAGUUCAGUUGAAUGCUCAUUAAUAGCAUAUUAGUUAACUUAGGCAAAAUCAUCUUUUACCAAAAAGUGUACAGGGGACGCUAUUGUUCUCCAAAUAUUCAUAAACUGGUAACAAUUGAUUUCCUUCAAUGCACAACUGUAAAGCUAUACGAAAUUUGGGUGUUAGAGAGCAUAUAUCAUGCCUAUCUCAUUGAGAAAUUCACGAUUGCCUUGCUUUGAUUUAGGCAAAAAUUGCUUCACAACAAUCAUAGUUCUAUCCAACAAUAUUCCCUGAGAUUAAUUAUACGAUCAUAACAGAUCAUAUGUUAUUUCAUUAAAAAAAUGAUUAGCUUGACAAGAUCUGGGUUGGUAAGUCUAAAAUAAAGACGCAUAUUGAAUUUAUCAGACACUUCAUGGAGGAUGAAGUUAUAAACAUAUUGUGAAUUACUUUGUAAGGUGGAUCAACCCUCAUUCACCAAUCUUAUUCGCAGAGUCGAAGUUACCCAUAGCAGCUUUGAUUUGUCUUAAAGUGAAAUGGUUGAUCUGGAGAUCUAAUCCACGUAAUUUUGGAAAAAAAACCAAGGUGUAUAUUAGGAAAGUCAUAAUAAUAAUCAAAGGAAAAGCACAAUUCUACAAAAAACUCACAAUGAUUCACCUAUAUGGCCAUGCCUCAUGAAAAUGCAAUCCUAGUUAGAAGAAAGAAAAAAAGGCCAACUUCUGUGGCGUCACAAUUUACUUAUAAGAAUUCCAUAAAAAAAAUAUAAAAAAGGUAGACAAAUAUAGUCUUGAAUUAAGCAUCAUAUUUUCUUUACCAAAAAAAAAAAAAUUAAGCAUCAUAUUUCUACGAUGAAUCAAAGAGUGACAGAUUUUUGCGUGAGCAUAUCUGUUAGUAUGAUAAUCUCACCUAGAUCUCCAACUUCUCUAUCGCCUAAGAAUCCUAUUAGCCAAAUGACUAGUAAUAUCAAAACAAGGAGAACCAUUGAAGCUGUCACAAUCCAAUGAUUACUCUAACUGAUAGUAUAGGGCUUCCAACAUCAUAGUUUACAAGCAAGAAAAAAAGAUAGAUUUCCACACGAAUGCUUCAAUGAAAACAUGAGAAAAGAAUGAUAGAGAUCUGUGCAUUUAGCAUUGACUUACUCGGUGUCACUGUUAUAGCAGAAAUAAGUAGUCCACAAGUACCUCUAUCUUGACAUUCCCUUCUCUAAUCAAUAUAAACGAAUCUCCAAAAAAAAUUUAAAGAAUUAUUGUUAUUAUAGUUAUUAUUAAAGAAGAAGAAGAAGAAGAAAGAGGGCAAAGCAAGACCGGGCGGGGGCGGCCCGACCUCUUUCCUUUCUUUUCCGUUUUCUCUCCCACUCGGGCCUGGUCCAGCCCAACCCAUUCUUUUCUUUUAACCCCCAGGCCCGGCCUUCUCGUUUUCUCUGGCUCCCUUCCUCCUGUCUUGAACGUUGGACGUUGGCCGAAGAGGGGGGAGACAGAGAGGAGGGCGAGCUUCUCGUCGGAGUUGGCGGUUGGGGGCAGGUCAGCAACGACAGCUGGCAAAGGACGAGGCCUCGCGUGCCCGCUUGAGGGGUUAAGGGGGGGUGGUUUGGGGAUUUUUGAGGGGGCUCGAGAGAGAGCGAGAGAGGGAGAGCAACCGAGAGAGCGAGGACCAGAGAGCGAAGAGUGAGGGUCAUGAGUGAAGGGCCUAGCCGUGUCGAUUUCCCGAAAAAUCCCGGUUCGGAGGCGUGCGAGGCGAUCGGACGUAGCCCGAUCUAUCGAGCUCCCCCACCGUUCGCCGCCCCCGAGCCGGGUAGGCAGUUCGUGCGAGUCCCGGCGCCGUCGGUUCUAUGCUCUGCAGUUUUUGGUGUUUGCUUUUUGAUUGUUGAGAGUCUGGCACGAAUCCGAGUUCUCUCCCGUCUGAGGUGCAGUGGAACAUGAACAAGUGUGCAGUGGAAGAAGGCCGUUCUGUGGCUCCCCUCUCAGCUGACUCACCCCAUGCGUUCGACGUAAUGCCUGAAAUAUUUUUGCAUUGGUUUUCUUGGCUUUUGGUCAGCGUUUGUUGGUGGUCGGAGGAGGUGACUCACGGCAGGUGUUGAUGUGGUCGCCCGAGGAACGAACGGUGUGGACGAGAGGCUCCAGGGUGUUGCCGGAGGCGCAGUCAGUGGCCGGCCAUCAUGACUGUCCACGGAGGCCACGGUUUGGUGGUUUGGGGGUUCGCGUUCGGUGGCUGCGGCUAGAGUCGCCGUGACCGGUGAUGAUGAUCAAACAUGGUGGCCAACGGUGGAGGGAACGAGCGUAUAUUAAUUGACUGCAAAACAUAAUGUCACGGCUGGAGUUUUAAUGUUAUUGAAUCAGUAAGCAAAUCUUCGGGUGUUCUGGGCAUGCUCGAAGAAGAAGACGUUGAGAAGCAGAAGUUGGAAUCUUGGGAACGAGAAGUCGUGGAGGGGGUGGUCAAGAGUAGUGAGUUUUGUGGGCUUAGUUAGGCAUAGUGGACUUUGGGCUAAUUUAGGCUUUUUAAACCUUGGGCUGAAAUAGUAAUGAAAGCAAAGAGGGCUUCAGCAUGGGCUUGGUGUAGCAUUAGCGAAAGAGUGGGCUUAAUUGGGAGUUUUCCGAAUUGGGCUUAGAAAGGGUAGAAUUGGAGUGGGCCUGAGGAUAAGCUCAAUUGUGCCCUUUAGCCUAGACCUUGAGUCCAAUCUCAGCCCAUGACCCAGCCUGAAGACCAGCGGUAGCCCGGAUCCCAUUUUUGUAUUAAAAAAAAACACCGAAUUUUAAAAAAAUCAGAAAAAGCUUAAAAAAUAUAUAUUUUUUGGGUAGUCUCCUCUUAAAAAGUAGGAGCCUUUUGAUAUAAGAUUGUGGGUUUCAAUUGUCCUUGGAAACAAAUGUUUUUAAGUGUGCACUUUUGAUAUGAUGGUUAUAGCUUCCCUUUAGCCUAUUUAAGAUUGGCAUGUAUUUAUCUCUAAGUGUUAGAUGCUUGUUUUGCAAUUUAUUUAAUGCUUCCUUUUGUAACUAAUUGUUAUUUUAAUAAUAACACACCCAUAUGAUUAUCUCAUAUGUUAGUAGAUAGUUUUAAAAUCAAUCCAGAUUGCCUAACAAUUAUCUUUUUAAAAUGAACAAGAUCAAGUACCCAAAAGGCUUUAGUUCAUCAAUUAGUCGUAGAUUCUCUAAUUGCAUAAAAAAUAAAAUAUACUUUUACACUUCAUUUGGUUUUUAGCCGAUCUCAAUAGACUAGUGGUGACUCCUUAUUAGAAAAUUCUUGUAGUGUUAAUUUGAAUAUCCCAAUGUCGCACAAGAUAUGACUUGGGAAAGCACGUGUCUCAACGAGGGUUGUAGGCUCGCUUUUUAGGCAAUACCCUUGAACUUAUGUCUUUUCCCCUUCGGAAGGAAAAGUUAGGUCGCAACAUCUAGGUUAGCAAAUUUAAUGAUUAAAUUUGAUGGAAGUUAACGGAGUGUAACUUUAUCACAAUUAUAUCAGUUUUGGGUUUUUUGUGGUAAAAUAAUUAAUUUAAGACAAAUUUGUCACAAGUAACCAAUUGAGGGUUUUUCGUAGUUAAAAAAUUAGUUUUGGUAAAUUUGUCACAAGUGUACCAAUUUAGGAUUUUUGAUGGUAAAAAAAUCAAUUUUGAAUAAAUUUGUUACAGGUGUACCGAUUUGAGGUUUCUCAUAAUAUUAACCCUAAAAGUGAGAUUCUGCACAUGAACUUUACAAAUGUUGCAAAACUGAUUCUACUCGGUUUGCUUGCAAGGAAUAUAACAUUCUGGUGACGACAAAUUCAUUGAAUUGGUCUUUGAAACAUAGACUAUUUGGAAGUAUUCAAAGAGCGGGGAGUUGGUUAAAUGGUUCAAAUAAGAGCAAUGUUUCCACACAAAAAAAGAAAAAAGGAAAAAAGAAAAAGUAAGAGUGAUGUGAGUUUUGACUUGGAGUAAUGUAUUUAGCAUAUAUUCCAAUUUGAAAGGAUGAUACACUUGUCUACAUCGAUAGGCACUUAGAUAUUUUAAUAUACAUGCAAUCAUUUGUGAAUGGGACAUGCUAAAGGUGCAAAAUGUUCCGCCACUGCACAACCCUGUCAUUAUACGGAUAAGUCCUAUGGGGCUAUCAUGCUGUCACCGACAAUGAAUUAUAUAUUUGAACGUGUGUGAAUUUUCUGUAUGUGUAACCACUUUGACAAGAUGGCUUUUCUAAGGGAUAGUUGUCAAAAAAUUCGUAAAUCAAUCAUACAGUGUAAUCAAUUCAAUUUUGAAGUUUUCCAUCUGGUUAAUCUAAUUCUAAACAUUGUAAUAAAUAUUUAAUAUAAUUCUUUUGGCUAAUUUUAGCCUGAAAUUAUUGAGAUUGUCAUUUUUUCCAUUUUUAAAAUUUUAUGAAUUUUUCUUUUUCUUUUUCUUUUUCUUUUUCUUUUUCCUUUUCCUUCCUUUCUUUUUUUUUUUUUUUUUCCUUUUCACUCAUGGCCGGUCACUUGCCAAGGCCAUGCUCAUCUAGAUCUGGGUGAAGCAAUCGUGGCCCUUACAGGCCAAGCCUCCCUUGUGGCUAGCAAGCAUGGCCCUCACUUGUGUACAAUAUUGGUUGCCAAUCAUUGUCAAGACCUGUCACAAGCAAAAAAGAAAAGAAAAGGAAAAAAAAAAUCAUAAAAUUGAAAAAAAAAUGCAAAAAUGGUCAUUUGUGGUAAGAAAAAGGGAUAGGAUGACGACAUUGAUACUUAUCUUCAACCAUUGAUAGAGGACAAUGAACAUAUUGUAGGAGGAGAUUGAUGCGUUUGAUGCCUCCACAAAACAAAGUUUUAAAUUGCAAGCAGCCCUUCACCGGAUGGUCAAUGAUUUUCUUGCUUAUGCUAAUUUAUCUGUUUGGAGUACAAAGGGACGCACUACGUAUCCUUCUUGUACUAAUUUGAUAGACUCAAAAUGGUUAGUCAUGGAAGGAAGUUUUCUUAUAUGAGAUACGAGCGAUGAUUGAAUCUGAAUCAUCCUUUCCGAUUUGAGAAGCAAGCUUGGUUUUUAGUCAUAUAAGAAAAAGAUUUUCCUCUAUGAUUAUUCACUACCAUUAUUGUUCACGUGCAGCAAGUUGGUGCACCUACCGAAUUAGAUACAUAUAUCCUAUUGAAGGCAAUCAUUCAUUCAAAUUUGUUGACACCUAAAUUUUAACGAACAAAUCAUUCAUUUAUUGCAUAAUAAAUUAGGGAUUGGACUUUAACCCCUAAAAAAAAUAUUAAAUCGCAUUACAUAUAUUUAUUAGGAGCAUGUUUCAAUAUACUUGCAUAUUCAUGGACUGGUAGCAGAUGGGCUUAAGUUCUGAACAUAAUUGCAUUGGAUCGGGUUGGCGGCGGAUGAACUCAGGUAAAUGGUUUUGAGCUUUAUUGAAGUUAAGCCUACGGUACGUGAAAGAUUGGAGCAAGUUUCGUAAUAUGACCAAGUUUGACAUGAAUUUGGGAAAGCUUUAGUACAAUUUUCACAUGGGAUCUUAACAAGGCGCAGAAAAUCUUUGAGGAGGAAUAAAUAUCUUUAUUAACAUAAGGUAAUCUACGUCAACUAGGUGCAGAAAAGUGUGAUAUUUAUGCUUCAUUAUUUCUAAGCAAGAAUCUGCCAAAAGAAAGAUUGGGACAUAUAUUUCUUGUUUUAAAACAAGAAAGAGUGCACCGAUAAAGAAAAUUUCAUGCCUCCUACGCAUCCAUGGGCGUGAUGAGAAAAGGAAAGAAUUCGUGGCCGAAAAUCAUGAAUAUAUGGUCAAGGUUGGGAGUGUUCACGCAUUUGAGGAAAGGAAAUGAAUAAAAUAUAUUAUAUUGGGUCCUUUCCUUUGAAGGCUUUGGUUUUUUUUUUUUUUUCGAUCCUACUCUACUCCUAUUCUAACACUCACUCUCAGACUUUUGCCCUAUCUCAUUGCAGGGUGUGGGAGUCGAAACCUACAUUUAAAACUAAUUUGUUCCUAUCUUAACCCCCUGAAAAGGUGGGGAUUCGAACCCCCCACCCAUUUUUUAUGUUGGAAGGGUGGUCACUGGAGCAAACCCCAGUAGUUUUUGAAAGCCUUGGUUGUCAUAUAAAUAAAGAGAAUGCUAACACUAGUGGGUGGUCGGCAAUUAAAGUCUUCUUACACAUAAUACAUACAUGAGAGGAAUAGAGAGAUAAAGAGGGAAGGUCUCAACCUACCUUUGGCGAAGACCUUACCUUUGGCGGAGACCUUGCCGAACACUACCCGAGUCUUGACGCGGGUCACCCUCCCAACAACGUUGCUGCUGAUCCACCGCAACGAGCUGCUCUUCGCACAGUGCCGUCGUCACACCUGCCGCUGCCCUUUUGAGCCGUGAAGUCUUGACGCACUAGACCACAGAGUCGCGAUGCUAAGUUCCCAUUGCUGUGUUGCCGUAAAUCACGUCGAGUCUUGCCCGGUCUAUCACCGACGUUUUUUCCCUGGAGUUCACCUUCUGCACACUUGCUGCUCGUGAAUUUUGUUGGUCAACUCGAAGGACCUUGCUGACUAGAUGUUGUUGGUCUCGCUGCCAAACAAGCCAACGUGUCUUGUCACGCAUUGAACCCCAAGCGCGCGAACAUUUCUCAGCGGUUGAUUCAAUUGCGACGUCCCCAGACGCAUCGCCAACUCAUUCUUUUUAUCUUUCGAUUAAAUGCAUGCGGAAGCAAAUCAAAUAAAUACCCAGUCAAUCAAUAAAAUAUGAAUAGAAAAAUACAACAAAUGAUUUCCAAAAGCCGCACAUUUAUUUAUCCACUUGUUAACCCAAGGAGUUUAACAUUUACAUGCCUACAACAGGAUGCAACUUCUACACAACCUAUGAGCAAAAAGGGCAAGAAAUGUCAGGGUUAGCUGUAGUUUCACUAACGGCAAGGCCAGCAAAAAAGUGUCGCAUCUCGCAGCCACCACAACCGUACUUAGCAGUUCUCCACGUUACAGUCUUGAAAAUAGUUAACAAUAACGGGCUGAGAUAAAAUCUUAGCUAGUCAACUUCCUAAACCUCGAUUAGGAAGCUAGUUCACCUCGGAGAUAGCCUAAACAUGCAACGGCAUACAAUCUUACCUCGCCUUGGCAUACUCAUGCAUAUUAGUACACCUCAGAUGGCAAAAUUAAUGUAACACACAUAACUAAUAAUCAGAACACAAUCCAUAAUAGCCAAGCGCACUGUAAAACAUACGUGUUCCAAUUAUUACAACCUCUCAGACCACAAUCAACACAUGAGUCGGCGGUCUUCCAGCAUGACCGGGCAUUGUUUUGGCCUAUCGGGCACGGUAUCGUCUAAAAUCCCCACCUAGACGGCAUUCCAUAAAAGAGCAUCGAUCCGGCCUCAACCGUGACUCGGCAUCGGACCACUGCCAAGCAUCCAAUAAAAAUCAAGCAUCGCCCUUAAACUCCCGUUGGGUGACGGGUUUGAUUAAAUGGCCACUCAAGCACACCAACAAUCAAGCCGAUUCUUAUUGUCAUUAAUUAGCCCAUAACAAAAGAGUUUGUUUUCAAAUAAUUAACUUUGACAUUCUUUUUUUACAUUUAAAAAUUCCAGUCAAAUGUUCGUACGUGGUUACGUAUUUGGAAUCAACCCGUUAAACUUUGCAUACUUCUAUUUUAAAACCCUAUUGUUUUAUUUAGUACGUAAAAUUUGGCGUCCAAACCCGAUACCUCAAAAUUCUCUUUUUUCUUGCCAUUAAACCCCUUUUUUAUGAUAAAUAAAAUCUAAAAUUGGGCAAUCAAUAAUAUAGCAUCACACGUGCAAACAGUUGGAAUUAUGCACAAACUCAUCCAGAAAACGGGUAUAAAAUUCUACUUAACUGCUAAUCCGUCAUUAAUUAUGAUUAAUUAAGCUAAAUCAUGAUUAAUUAGCCUAAUUACAAUUAAUUAACCUAACUAUAAUCAAUUAAAAUUAACCGACGUUAACUAAAAUAAUUACGAUUAACUAAAUAAAUAAAAAUAAAUAAAUUAUGAAUAAUUAAUUAAAUCACGUUUAAUUAAACUAAACUCAAUUAAUCUAAUCAUGAUUAAUUAAUCUAAUCAUAAUCACUUAAACUAAUUACAAUUAAAUUUAAUCUAAAUCAUCCUUGAUCAUAAUUAAGAAUAAACUAAAAUUAACUAAUAUCAAUAACCAUUAAUAUUAAACUAACUACCUCUAAACGUAAUUAAUACCCUAAUCCACAAUUAGGAAGUUAACUCACACAUUUUCGGCAAUGGUGAGCUGGCGGCAAUGGCGGUGCAACAGCAUUGAGAACUUGGGUCUCAUGGCACCAACAGCGGCACGAAUGGUACAGCAAAGGCGGUGGCUUGGCACUCAAAUCCCAUGGCCUCCUUAGAGAUGGGGUGUUCGGUGGUGAUGGGGGUGGCUUGAGGUGACGAGGAUGGCCACAGUGGCUCGAGCAGACGACAGUGAUGGCAGCUUGCGGCAACGUCAAUGACGCCAAGGUUGCCAACGGUGAUGAAGAUGGUGUUGGUGGAAGGGGUAGAGGUGUGGGCGGUGGUGAUGGGGUGGCGUGGGUGAUGGUGGUGGGGAUGGGGUUGAUGGUAGUGGAAAGAAAUACGGAGGAGGUUGAGGAAAAAGAAAAACUAAAGGAGGGGGGAAGAAUGGACAGAGGAUGGGGGAGAAAGGCGUGAGGGAAGGAGGGGGAAUGAAGUGGAGGUGGAGAAGAAAGAGAGAAGGGAGGAUGGGCGGUCUGCAGAGGGAGGAGGCGUGAGGGAAGGGAGAAGAAAGAGAGAGAAGAAAAAGAAAGAACAAAAAAUUAUCAAGAUAUCUUUUAAAAUCUCAUCAUACUUUUCACCCACUUGCCCAUAAAACCCUCUUGGCCUGGUAUUAUGUCCAUUCUUUUCUUUUAAUUUCUAAUUUCAUAAAAACAAUACUUUUGGUCCAAAAAUUUCAAUUUUGCCUGUUGAUCCGAAUUUCUUCUUUUUCUUUUUUUUGUUCGAUAAUUCCUUUUCCAAAAAUUUCGGACUCGCCGAUAAUUUAAGGAACAAUGAGACAAUGUCCAAUAGUAAAAUCUAGAAACUCUCGAAAGUUCGAUAUCUGAAAUCGAAUUAAAUUUCGUGAUUAAAAAUCGAUCGAACGCGAUUUUAGUAUGACUUAAUCUAUCGGGUGGCUUUCACGGGUUCUCACGCAUUUGACUCGUGGUCGAUAAUUUUCGAUCCACAUUUGUGUAUCUUCGAAUCGCGAAUGACCCUCAGUUGUCAUGUAAUUGUGAGGGUUCAAUUAUGUACCCUGAAUACGAUAUCAAUAGAAAAUCAGUUCAUCGUUGUUUGACACAAAUAUCGUAAUCAUACAAAAUUGCCCAUGAGCCGACUAUGUACUUCCGUCGAAUCAAUAUAUAUCCGUUCGUUAAUUGACUUAUAACAAUGUAGUAUUGACCAUUGUCGAUCUUUAUGGUCGAGCGGUUGAUUUCUAAUCGAAUUCUCUAAUUUUUCGAGUUUUAACCCUUUACGACUUCACUUAAUAAAUUAGUUAACUUGUGAAUGAUCAGUUCAUAGUAAAGUAAAUAUAAAUGUAUCGACAAAAUAACCAUUUUGUAUAUUUCGAAAUAGGGUCAAAUUUCAGGAUAUCACAUGUCUCCAUCCGGUUUUCUUCUUUUGGAAAAAUUUCGGAUCAGCUCAUGGUGCAAGUAAUUUCAUUGAGUUUUUUGCAUUCUAGCUGAGCCUUGGUCAUGAACCGUUCACCAUUGUGUUUGUGGAGCCCCUACGUGAGCCGCUCCUAUGACGUGUCAAGUUCGCCGCCAUUGACAUCCUUGUUUAUGGAUUGACGUGCCGCCGCCACUCAUCACUUGCCACUGUUGCCGUUCACUGUCGAGGAGCUAAUUGCGAUCCCAAUUCGAUUGCGCAAAGUCCAUACUUGGAAGUCAAUAUUUGGAUUAGGUAAAAAUUUUGUCUAAUUUGAUAUCCAAAUAUUCCGUUUCCUUAUUUAAAAUAUCUCGAUGCACAUAAUCGAAGUUCAUGAUAUAUAGUCCUAUUCGUAAUCUCGAGUAGCCUUUUAAAUUGGUAAAUCUUCCUAAUUUCAUAACGUGCGUACGAUUGACAUUCUGAUUUCAUACCCGAAAUAUGACUAUCAAUCACAUGGAAAAAUCGCCAAUCCGAUCUCACGCUUGAUCGAGAUACGAUUCGCGAUUUUUUUAAAAUUGGCUAAUUCAAUCUCAUGCGCGAGAUACAAUUCAUCAAUUUAUUAGAUGGAUAUCAAUCAUACUUUGCUUGAUUUGCUAUCAUGUUGUUUGAAUCGAUUUUGUUUCCAUAAAAGAAAAACCCAAAAAAUAAGUAUAUUUGAAUUGGAUUAGGUUCAUUACUUGUUUUAGGGCAGUUUGCAUGUUUAAGAUUAGGAAACUUAUUUAAUUCAAAUUUUUAAAAUAAAAAUACCAAAAAUAUUAAUUUAGGAUGUUAGAUUCUCUUUUCAUUAAUUUAAAUUGCAUAUUUAAUUAUUGGACAAUUUUUUUUUUGGUAAGUAUUAUUGGACAAUUUUAAUUUCGAAUUUUAUAAAAAAAGAAAAAGAAAACCUAGAAUUAGGGUAUUCUUUGCACGUCAUCUAGUUAUUGCAUAUUAGGAUAAGAUUGCAUGUUUAAUUUAAUAUAAUCUUUCUAAUUAAUUAUAAGUUUAGAUAAUUUUUCCAGAUAGAUUGCAUUUUAGGUUAGGGAUUACCUAAUUAGGAUAACAUUCUAGUUUAAAUUAGGAUUUGGCCUAAUCUAAUUCCUAAUAUAAGUUGGAUGAUAUCUUAAUCUAGAUAGUCAAUUUUUGCUAUUUUUUUUUAAUUUCGAAUUUUACGUAAAAUACCAAUAAAAAGAAAACCAUUGUCUUAGAAUAAAUUUGUUUCUUCUCUAGGAUAUACUGCAUGCUUAUUAAGAAGACAAAAAAAAAAAAAAUACUAUACUUAUGUCAUGUAGUUUAGGUCAUUUUGCUAUGUCAUGUCGCAUCAUGUUAGAUUAGUACAAUGCAUUACAUGAAGCAUGAUUCUCAUUAAAUAAGUGAAAAUAAAAAUUAAGUAAUUGCAUGUUAACUUGAAAUCAUACCAAGGACCGUUGAUGUGAAUUUUGAGCUAAUAUUGCAGAAACUUUCGUUGUUAUGAGGUAAAUCUAGUAAUUUAUUGUUUUUUUUUGUGUUAAAUUGGUGGUUUGUGUACCCACAUGAUCACUGUGCUCACAUGUUAGGGAAGUAAAUUAAAAUCAAUUUAAGCUACUUGUAAAACAUUUUUUCGAAAUAAAAGAGAAAGAUACUAAAAUGGCGUUAGAGAAAUCUAGCGUAAUCAAAUCCCGAUCUUACAAUGGUUUGCCGGAGUAAAGUAAAUCUUCCGUUACUUUAUUUGGGUUUCUAAUCGACCCAUCAAAAAUAGAUUAGUUGCGACUCCUAAUUGAAAAAUCAUUUGCAUGUUAAGAACUUGAACCUAAAUUGUAAAUUGGUAUAGGUUUGGGAGAGCUCGAGUUAAGUUUAGGCUUAGUAAUCCAUUAGCCAAACCUUAGAUAUUUAACUCAAGGUUAGGUCGCGACAAAAUUAGUGGGCUCUUCAUAUCCUUUAUACAUGGGUUGUUUAUGAGGUUCAAGUUUGAUGUUCGCAACUAUUAGAAUAUAUAAAUAAUAAACCACUCGCUCAUAAAACAAUUUAAGCUUUUAAAAUAAUUGAUAAUAGUCAUCAAAUUUCACGUGAUAUCAAAAUUUGAGGUUGGUGCCUUAGUUGAUAAACUCUUACAUUUUUCCUAACAUCCCAUACCCAUGUCCCAUCUUUGGGACGUUUGUGGACCGUCCAAGUAUUCCAUUGGGAUGCCAUAUAGCCUCAUCGCGCUCGGGACAUUUCCUAAAUCGUCCCAAAUAGGCUCGAAAAUCAUCUCAAUCGUCUUGGAACUAUUAUUGUUUGAUCUAAGUCUAAACUUUAUUUGACAAGCCGUGGUUUUUCUGGGCUUGGUGUCUAUAUAUCUAACAUGGAACGGAGAUAAAAGAGCCAUGUUAGGUCAAAGAAAAUAUUAGUAUCAGUCGUCAAAGUAACAAAUCUCCUCACUCGGCUUCGUGUUCGAUCAAAUCUAGAACAUGCUGUUGACUAUACUACAAGUGGAAAAUUUCAGCUUUUUUUUUAAGGUAACUUAGGUUGCACGGACACGUUAUAUGUGCCUCUGUGUCGUGUCCGACAUGUGUCGGAGCAUGUCGGACACGUCAACACGCUUGGACACGCGUUGACCGCGUGUCGGAUUUGUCGACACGGGGUCAACUUUUGUCGACACGUUUUGACACGCGUGUCCGAGUGUGAGGGAGGAGAGACGAGGCCGGGAGCCGAGCGAAGGAGAGCCCGCGACGGCGAGAGACGGCCAAAGAGAGAGUAGAGACUGACGCGAGGGCCGUGAGGAGGAACUUCACGAGAGAGGCGUGCGUGGGGAGGGCGGCGUCGUCGAGCGGGGCGGCGGCAAGGGGGAAGAGGAGGAGUUCACGGCGGUGUGCAGCCUCUCGGCGCACAGGACCGCGCGUUCCAUCCCUGGCAAGCAAAAAUUGAGAGGAAAAGGAGAGAAAAUGCGUCGUGCAGCGAGGAGGAGGAGAAGAAGCGUUGCUAGGGUUUUGAGAAUAAAAGAAUAAAAAAGGGAUUUGGUGUGUUGGAGGGAGGGGAAGUGACGGGAGGGAGGGGAAGCGACAAUGUCAGGUGUCAGGUGGAGGAAAAAAAAAGUGAAAAAAAUUUGGGGGUGGGAAGGAAACGAGGGAAAAGGGAGUUUGGGCGUGCAGGAGGGUGUGGAGGCUUUUUAUUUAAUGGAAGGGAUUUGGGGGCUUUUUAUUUAAUCGGAAAAAUUGUUAAAUAAAAUUAAAAAAUAAUUUUGAAAGUAAAAGUACUGUAUAUUGAAUCAUUAGUGUAAAUUUGUUGUAGGUUUUUUUUAAUUAUAAAUUUGAAUCAAAUUAAUUAAAAAUAAAAAUAUUUUUUUAAUAUAUAACGUGUCGGAACGUGUCAAAAUUUUUUAUUAUUGAGAAAUGACGUGUCAGCGUGUCGUGUCAUGUCGCGUGUCCGUGUCGGUGCAACCUAUACGGUAACUAUGUACACAAUCCCUAUUGCUAGGCAAGAUGGCGAGGCAAGCCCUUGCCAGAUUCAGCAAGGGGGACCUUGUCGUCGCUAGGUCUAGCGAGCUCACGCUCUCCUAGCGAUGGCGAAAUGAGCCUUCACCAGAUUCGGCAAGGGCUCGCGACCACUAGUGGCUUGCCCAGUCGCCUCAAUCCAGCGACUGGCUAGCCCCUCUAUAGCCGGUUAUCGAAGCCAAAGGAAGAAGGAGGAAGGAGGAAAAAAAGUAAAAAAUAUAUAUUAAUAAAAAAAUUUGAAAAAAAUAAAUAUUAUUAAAAAUUGUCGCUAGCAUCGGCUGGCAGCCAUGUCAAUACCAGUUGGCCAAUUUUGGCUGAAAAGACUGAACUUGCACAAAUUCAAAAGAUUUAGGAUUUAAUUGGAAAAAAAAAUAAGUUUAUGAUUGAAUUUGCACAAUUGCAAUAGAUUUAUGACUAUUUUGAUAAUUUUUCUCAAGAAUUUCUCUUAGCAAAUGUGAUUUUUUUCUAUCUUUAGUGUGGAUGAUUGAAGAACAAUAUGAAAAGAGGGAAAAAGAAAUUAAAAGACUUGUAUUGGAUUAACCGGCAAUAUGAAAAAGGUUAUUACACAAGAAGAGUUGGACAAAAACUUAAAAGCUCCAUUCUACAUGAAUAUCCCUACAAUCGAGACAAUUAAGGAAGACUUGGAGUCGUCUCUCUCUCACUUUCACACAUCACUCUCUUACUCUCAUAUCCAAAUGUACAAAAGCAAAGAUUCUUUGUCCAUUCUCCCUGUCUAUUCUCACUUUUUUGUGAAGAGCGCACUCAAAAGCAAAGAGUCUUUGUCCACUCUCUCUCUCUCAAAAGCAAAGAGUCUUUGUGAAGACCACUCUCUCAAAAGCAAAGAGUCUUUGUCCAUUCUCUCUCUCUCUCUCAGUUCACUCAAUUAUGGAUGCAUUGACGAAGACUUGACUCAAUUAUGGAUGCAUAGACGAAGACCUGGGAUCGUCUCUCUCACUCUCAGACAUCACCCUUGCUCUUACAUGCAAACAUACAAGACCGUUCACUUAACAAUUAUCUCUCUCUUGCUCCCUUGCUUAGCCAAGUUUUGUUUUCACAAACUCCACUUAAAGAGCGAGAGAUUCCUCUCUCUCUCUGGGUUGAGCUCAAGACUGAAAUGAUGACAAUUCUCUUCUCAGUUCAAUAUCUCUUCUUUGUGCUUGUUCUUCUCCACGCUACUAACUUAGCUGCCACAGCCACUCUUCUUCCCCUAGAUGAAGGUGAAAAAAAAAAAAAAGACCCACCGAUCUUUUAUUGCUUUCAUCGUAUUGUUCCUUUACCUUUUAGUCUACGACAUACACCGAAUUUUUUUUUUAUUUGUUCGUGCUUGUUUUUCAUACAUAUAUUCAACCUCAAGUACUCGUGAAUCUGACAUCGUUUGUGCUUGUUUUGCAUGAUAUACUAUCGUUCCUAUGACUUGUUGGCUCUUUUCUCUUUCAGUGGAUGCGUUGAAAGAAAUAGCAAAGACGUUAGGGAAAUCGGACUGGGAUAUUGACGCAGACCCAUGUGAUGUAGAGGGUGAUUGGGGCAACAUCGUCACCUGCGAAAAUUCCACCGACGCCCGCAACAACACCGUUUCCCACAUCAUCAGCAUGUCUCUUUCUCUCAAUUUCAUGAAUUUUACCAUCAUAGAUUCCUAGCUAGACUUUGAUAUUAAUCACACGAUUGCACACCGAUUUUUUUUUAUGUCUUUAUAGAGUCAACUAGCUGCUGAACUGAAUCUCUUUGCACUAUAUUAGUAUUUCAUCAUAAAAAAUUAACCGAUUGUCUGGUCGAAAUCAUUUAUCAUAUUAAAAUUACUCAUGAAGUAAUUAUGAGCAUAAUAUUAAUUGUUCACAGUAUGAUUAUAUAAAUUUUCAUAAUUUUAAUUAAUACAAUCACAUGUUAUGUGCUUAGAAUUUAAUUAUAUAAAUUAUAUUUUUAGUGAUAAUUGGAAGUGUUAAACUCAAAGAUCAUGAUUGACUAUCAAAAUGAUGAGAGUUAUAUUCCCUCUAACUUUAAUUGUAGGGUUAAUUUUAGAAUUUUAACGCUAUUCUCUCCUUAUUACAUAUGUCAUUCAUACUAAUGCACGGUAGGGUUGUGCUUUGAGUGAUGCUUGCUUUUCAUAUUAACUAUAUAUUCAUUUGCUUUAAACAAAAUCUUCUGUUUUUUUUUUUAGGCAAUUUUCGAAGAAAUUUUUUUUAUUUAUUUAGAAUCAGCUGAGAUUUAUGUAUAUAUUUAUCAAUAGAUGUAAUAGAGCCAUUUUUUAACGUCAUUUUGAUGCCUAGUUUUCAAGUAAAGAUAGAGUAAAGCCUUUCCGUCGUUGCGAAAACAGAAUUCUUAGGGAGCAGUCACUUGCUGGCAGUCUUCCGCCUCAACUGUUCAGAUUGCCUUCCCUCCGGACCUUGUAAGCACUCUCUCUCUCUCUCCAUUUCCCCUUUCUCCAUUUUCGAUCUUCUUCUUCUUCAUCCUCUCUCUCUAUAAACAGUGAUGUCUCCCGCAACUACCUGAACGGCACAAUUCCUAAAGAAUGGGGCUCUACGACGUUGCGCUACAUGUAUGCUCUCUCUCUCUCUCUCUCUCUCUCUCUAUUGCGAGCGUAUGUUCUAUUGAUUGAUUAGGGGAAACGCGAUGAUGUGGGUGCAGUUAUCUACUCGGAAACCGAUUGACUGGUCGAAUCCCGAAGGAGCUAGGGAACAUAUCCACACUUUGGGAAUUGUAAGUGACCACUCAUCCGACGCUCGCGUUUGGCCUCUUCGCUGUUUUAGAUUUGAUUGAUAGUUUCAAGAUUUUAACUUUCUCAUUCUGCUCAGAGACGUCGAGAUCAAUUGGCUUUCUGGACCUCUGCCUCCAGAGCUCGGGAACUUGUCCCUGUUAGAUCUUUUGUGAGUCUCUUGAUGCAAAUUUCAGUGUUAGGCAUCGAGUUUUUAUUCUCCGAUGAUUUUGUAUCUGGCGAGGGAAUUUUAUCCAUUGGAGUGAUCUGUUGAGAGAUCAUCAUUUACGUUCUAUUAACCAAUGUGAUGUCAUGGGUUCUUCUUGUUCCAGGAGCCUUUCGUCAAAUAAUUUCACGGGGGAGCUGCCUCAAACAUUUGUUGACUUAACGGAUUUGAACGAACUGUUAGUUUCCAGUUUCCACAAACUCAGCUAAUAUUUAGCCAUUUAUGUUCUUUCUUCUUCAUGUGAAUCUUAUUGUUGAAUGCACUGUAGGCGACUCAGUGAUAAUAAUUUCACGGGACAGAUACCUGAUUUUAUUCAGAACUUGACAACUCUCAGAACUCUGUAAGGCUUAAUGGUUCUUCCCCUUUUAAGUCAGUCUAUAAAGAUAUACCCCCAAGAUAAUACAAUCUAUGAAUUGUAUUGUUAGGGUUAUUCAAGGAAGUGGAUUGCAAGGGCCAAUUCCCUCUGAGUUCCCAUUUUUGGAGAGAUUGUCCGACUUGUCAGUGUGGAAGUUUGGCAUUUCGAUCUGAUCUCUCUUUCUUUGAGAUGUUAUCAAUCAAAUAAAGCUCCCUAUUUGAUUUUGAUGUGCAGGAGAUUAAGUGACUUCGAUGGACUCGAGUCCCAAGUUCCGAAACUUAGGUGUAGAAAUAUUGAGACACUGUGAGAGCGUUGUUCCUUCAUAGAUAGUUUACUUUAUGCAAAAGAGCCAAUUCGUCUUAGCAAUGUGAAAAAUAUCAGUGCUAUUUUCUUAUAGGAUUCUGAGGAGCUGCAAUCUCACGGGAGAGCUACCUGCUUUUCUAGCACAAUUGACAAACCUAAAAAUAUUGUGAGUUGAAAACAGAUUUUCGCUUUGCUAUUCCAAGUUGAACAAAUAAUUUUAUCCUUAAGGAGUGAAAUUUCUCCUAGCUUUUGGUUGACUAUUUGUUGCAGUUAAAGAACCCAUUUAAAAUGGCUUGAAGGUCCCUUACUGACUUCCAUGGUGUUUUGAUAUUUUCUGUUGAAAUUGCUGAAUUAUGAAUGAUGUGGCAUUUAAAUUCUUAGUGAUUGUGGCCUCCACUGUAGAAUAUACAGUUUUGGGCAGAAGUAUAUGGACCUUUUCUCUCUCUGAGAGUUUGUGGGACUAUUGCCCAACAGUUCUAAAAUCUCAAGCUAUUAGAUGAAAGUGUGAUUCGUUAUUUAAAUAUUCUAACACUCUCUCUGUUUUCACUUUUCCAGGAAUAGAACCACAAGAAUUCUUACCUUGGUUGUGGUGCCCAUUACGUCUAAUUUACUUUUGCUUUGAUCUGUUAUCUUAACUUCUUAAGAGCAUUUAUGCAAAAUGGAGGCUUCUAGUGGUUGAUUGCCUAGAAACUUUCCUUCCAGUGGUUUACAUUCUCGAAUCUUAGCCCUACAAUAUCUAACUGGGGUUUUAUGAUUGACUUUUGUACACUUGUAAGCCAUAACAUUCAUAGUUCAAACGAGAGCAUGGCUUCAAAUGCAUCUCUAUGCAAGUCAAUUCUUCUUGUUCAUCUGGUCAUCUUUGUAAAUUUUAUAAAUGUUACUUUUAACAGCAACUUUUUCCCAUUCUGUUAUGGCUCCAUUUGUUUAACAGAAAACGUUUUUUGGCAUUUGAUUUGCUUAAGAAAAUGAGUUAUGGAAAAUGUUUUCCUAGUCAACAAAAAAUAUGCGUUUAAAUUCAGGAAAUGUUUUCCUUUUUAUUGAAAAUGUCAAAACACAUUUUCCAAAAUAUGAUUAGGUAUGGCGCUUUAACCCACAAUCUUCGCUUGGACAUGGGAACCCUGAUGCCUGGUUCUUGGUCCUCGGCUUUUAGGACCAAGUCUUUAGUACCCAGGCCUGGUCCAUCGAGGUUGGGCCCAAAGCCUUGGUGCCCGGGCCCGAAGCCUCGGCAUCCGAGCCCAAGUACAUAAAGGCAGUGUUUGGGUCCUUGACGCUCAAGCUCUGGUCACCAGCGCUUAGGUUCAAGUCCUCAAAGGCUGUGCGCAGGUCCUUGGCGCUCAAGUUUGGAUCCUUAGUUAAUGGAAUGUUCGCUCUUAUGAAAAUUUAAUAAAAAAAAUCGAAUUUUUAAUUAUUUUUUCUUUCUUUUUCUUUUUCAUUCUUCCUUGGUCUAUUAUUGGCCACGGCGACAACUGGGGACUGACCAUAGGCAAGGGACGAGCUCGUCCAAUCCCAGUGAAGCUCAUGUGAACUUAUCCCUCGCCCAUGGCCCGUUGUUGUAGCUAGCAACCUCGGCCAAGGAAGAAGUUUAAAGAAAAAGAUUUAAAAAUAAAAAAAUUUGCAUUUUGUUGGUAAUUUUUCCUUAGAAAAUCAAAUCAAAUUUUCCAUAUCAAACCACGGAAAAUAUUUUCUGUUUAUUUUUUAGAUUUCAGCCAAACACUGGAAAAAAAUUAUCAUUUUCAUAGAAAAUAACUUCCUGGAGAACAUUUUCUAAAAACGUCACAUUUUCUGCAAAACAAAAGGAGCUUUAAUUCUUUGUUUUUCUGACAUUCUUGGAUGAUGUUCUGCUGUGGCUUAUCAUAUACUCUAUUCCCUUUCCUGUUUUUUGAAAUCCUCAUUUUAUUCUUUAUUUUUUAUUCACUCAAGCUGAUAUUUCAUUUUCUAAGCACCCUAGUAUUGAGUCAGCAUCCCUGUAUUCAUAAAUAAAAUAAUGUGAAGGAGAUGUGUUCAACAAAUUAUGUUUAGCUUUAGUUUUGGUCCUAUUAGAUUAGUGGAAUCUCCCAAUUUGAACUAUAAUGUGUUGCACUCCUUGGGAUGCACUCAAUUUAGUGCCCAAAUAGCAUUUCUAGUUAUAUAAAGUGAAAUUUCCAUUUUGUAAAUUUGAUUUACGGCAGUUUUGUAUAGAUACAGCAUGUGACCAACUUGAAACAUGGAUUUUGGCGAUGAAUGCCUUUGGAAAUUAAUGUCUAGUAGAAAGCAUAGGCACUAGGCUGUCGACCUGUAUGUCUAAACAUCUGAACUGGCUUUGUAUGUUCGUUAAUGUUGUCUGUGUUUCUACAAUCCUUUGAAGUAUGCUCAAAGAAUGUCCUGUGGGAGUCAGUUAAAACUAUCUUCUCAAUAUAUAUUCACAUUAAAUUGCUUUGCAGAGACCUCAGCUUCAACAAACUAAGUGGCAAAAUCCCUAUCUCCUACAGGAGCCUGGAAAGAGUAGGAUAUAUGUACGUACUUCAAUGUUGAACUUAGGCUUCUUUUCGUAUUUUGUGGAAGAAUCUAAAAUCUCAAGUUGUUCCAGUGGUCAAGCUAUAGGCAACUUUUACCGUAAAGUAGUUGAGCUAUCAAUAGAACUUAGACCGUGAUGACAUAUCCAUUUUAUAACUCCCAAAGUCCUCAUGUCAUGAAUACUUAUUAUUUCACCAUCCAUAUUUUAUAAUAACUUGGGUUAUGAAUUUAUGAUUAUUGUCAAGUAAUUAUUUUGGUGGGACUCUAGUCAUGGAGCAGGCGUAGAUCGUUAAUAUUCUAUUGCUUAAAAAGCAUGAUUCACAAGUUUCAAAUAGUCACUUGUUUACGCUGGAAGAGUUAAAUGAAUCAGUGAUACUUAAGUAUUUGACAGUUGUAUGUGUCUAUACUCAAUGCAUGUCUUGUGUGCCUAUUUUAUGAUGUAGAGGAGAUUAAAGAUAGUAAAAGUCCUUAGGCUCUCUACUUGGUUCUUUCCACAGCAAUGGCCCUAGAAGUUUGGUGAGAGCAGUUCUUAAGUGCUAUUUAGAAGGUCUGCGGAGGACCUUGGUAUCUUGUCCCUAGUUUUGAAAAUGAUGAGAGACUGUUUUAACAUUGGUGCAUUGUCUCAUCUUCCUGCCUGAUGAUUGACAGCUUGACAAUGGCACAUCUUCCUUAAUUAUUUAUCUUGUCUUAGAAGGACAAAAGCAUUAGCGCGAGGAAAUAGUUGAUAAGCUAGUUUGGAAGUAUCCUUCACUAGUUCAGCUUUGUGUACUAGUGUUAUGGUAAUCGUUCUCCUUGCACUCCAAGUUUCACAAGGAUCAGGGUUUUCCUCUGUCAUUGAUUGCCUUGAUCUUUCAUCUCCAGCUAAAAGCUCUAUAUUGUUAUCAUGACUUGAACUGAUUUUUUUUUUCCACACCACUAGUAGAUAAAUGAUUUUAAUCUGCUAAAUAAUGUGUUGUUGAGGUAUAACUCUUAAAAAAAUUUCAGUUUGAGUGCAUAAAGUACAUGAGGAACUGACUCAAUCAAAUAAUGUUGUUUAGCUAUCUGACUGGAAACCAGUUGACUGGAGAAGUCCCUGUUUGGAUCCUGGCAAAAGGAAAAAAUGUGUAAGCUUCGCUGCCUGAAGAAAAUGUCUUGUUUAAUCAUGAAUUUGCUUCUAGCUCUAUCUGGCUAAUGUUGCUCUGAACCAACCAAUUAUGCAUUCCCAUCUUCCAUCUUUAUGGAUAGUAGCCUUUGGAGGUAAAUGGAAACAUCAUAAGUACCUUUCUCCUUGAUACUGUAUGAUAUGCAUGAAAGAAUAUAUAGUGGAUUCUCUUGGAAGUGCCUGCUUAGCUCCAUUUUCCCCUAUACAAAAAGCCGUUCCUCUUUAGCUGGAGAUCUUUCAGACCUCUUGGAAUGAUUAAAAUUACAUUUGAAAUUUUUUUUACUUCCUGUUAAUCAUCUUUGAAAGUUUGUCUAAUGUGUCACCCGCACUAUAUGAUUAGUUACUUGGGCUAUUUCUUGCUGAUAACAAUGUUUUUAUGGGUUUGUGUAUUUGAGAAACUCUACAACCAAAAUGAGUGUACUUAGGAGAAGUUGAUAUUAUCUUAUGGGCGUAGGAAUGAAGCUCUCAUGUGGUAGUUUAAACAGAUAAAUGGUGGUGUGGAUAUUUUCUUAUUAGAAGACGCGACUUAGCACUAGUUGGAAUCAUAGUUCUGUUUUAGCCUCUUUGCCUUAUACAUCAUGACUGUUGUAUUGUUACUGGGUAAAAAUGUUUUUAUACACUAUAAAUAGUUUUGAAGUCUCCGUUUACUCCAAUUAGUGUUUCUCCUUUUCAUAUUUUAAGAUAAGAUAUUUUCAAUAGGAAUAAAAUAUCACUUUCAUCAUCUUGUGAUGUUUUUGCCUUUCAUCUUGCCUUACCUGUCCAUAUUUUGCAACUGGCCUGCAUUUUUGUACAUACUUAUCAUUUGAUGGAAAUAUAAAAAAAAAAAAAAAAUCAUUUGAUGGAAUGACUUUCAGCGUAUUCUUCAAAUUGAUGAGAUUUAGGAAACGGCUGACUGUUUCUCUGUGUAGUGAUUUAUCAUACAACAACUUCACUGCUCGAGGCUCAGAAUGUCAAAACAGAUCUGUGUAUGUCCUAUUUCCUUCAGUCAGUCCAGGGCUCCCCCCAAAUGUGUACUUAAUGAGUAACUUAUAUCCUGUAUGUGUAUGAUAUUUCCAUUGCUCUGCUGAAUGUUGAUUUUGUCUUUUCUCUACAGCAACUUGUUCGCAAGCUCCGAGGUUGAGAAUGCGUAUGUUCGCGAUUAAAUUUUGAACGAGAGACUUGGAUUUCCAAGGACCCGCAUUUUUAUUGUUUAUGUGCUUAGCAUUGAACUUCAUUUAGAAUGAUGAUUAUUAUAACAGUAAAAUCUUUGCUGACUUGCUCAGAACCUCACAUUCUGCCACAAGUGGACUUGUCUCAUGUUUGCAGAGUCACCAUUGUACAAAAAGUAAGUUAAUAUGCUACAAAGUCAUUGUUGUAGAAUAAGUAAGUUGAUAUGCUGUAUAUCUUAUGAGAUUUUGUGGGACCACAGCUAACUGUUCUAAAAGUUUAAGUUGUUAGAUGAAGUGUGGACAUAUUUAAUUGGGGAGACAAAUGGGGGCUUGAAAAAUUUGAACUCAUGACAUCCAGCUCACCAUACAAGAUUUUAUGAGACCAUAGUCAACUAUUUUAAAAGUUUGAACCUUUAGAUAAAGAUGUGAUUUAAUAUUUAAAUUAUUCUAACAUAUCCUAUGAUUAUCAUCAUAUCCUAAUUUGCAUCUUUCUCUCUGUGUAAUUUCUCAUCAAAUUUAUCUCCUUGUCAACUCUCCUCUUGGCUAUUGUCAAUCUUUGAUGGUUAAUUCAUAAUUACUCAAAUAACUUCAAAAGCCACCCACCUUCAUGAAAUAAUGGGUUGCUCAUAAACUGGGAAGUUUCUAUGUAAUUUUCCAAUAAGUGAAUGCUAGCUUAUUUAGUGUGUCUGGAAAGUCCACUCCAUAUUAACAAAAAGAAGAAAACUUGAUUUUUCUCUGUGGCUGCUUCUUUACUCCAUCCAGAUCGGUAUAACCUCUUCAUAAAUUGUGGUGGGAACAAAGCAAAAAUAAGGGGCACCACAUAUGAAGAUGACUCGUGGGAGGCUACACCUUCAAGUUUCUCCGGGAGUGAUUACUGGGCAUGCAGUAGCACUGGUUACUUCACCGAUUACGAAAUCGCUACAUAUGGCUAUACAGUUAAAAAUACAUACGGGCUGUCCAUGAAUGAUGCACAACUUUACAUGAAAGCACGACGUUCUGCUAUCUCUCUAACUUAUUACGGUUUUUGUCUGAUGGAUGGGCCCUACAAUGUAGUCCUUCAUUUUGCGGAGAUAAUGUUCACAGACGACAAAACUUAUCAAAGCCUUGGGAGGAGAGCUUUUAAUAUUUAUAUACAGGUAAGCCCAGGGCAUUAUGUAGUGCGGGUUCUAAUAUGUAAAGCACAUAAAGCGUUCAAUAUGAUAUGGUUGGGAAGUUUAUCCAAAUAUCUCGUACUUGCAAAUCAUGAUUUUUUCACAAUUUGUACAUUCUAUGGAAAGUUUCACCUUGUUGGUUACCAAAAAAAAAUUCACCUUGUGUAGUGUGGAGACACUCAACUUGAUUCAGAUGAAACAUUUUUUUCAGGGGAUAUUGGUGUGGAAAGAUUUCAACAUUGAGAUUGAAGCAGGUGGAGUUAGAAAGGAGGUCAAAAGAAAUUUUUCUGCCUAUGUGACCAAGGGCACUCUGGAGAUACGAUUCUACUGGGCUGGGAAAGGAACCACUGCUAUACCUGACAGAGGAGUCUAUGGUCCUCUUAUAUCUGCUAUCUCUGUCUAUCCUGGUAUGAAGAUGGAUGCUUCCAUGUUUCACUUGGUGCUUCUCUGCUGAGAAAGUUACUCAUAUUCAUGUUGAAAAGAAUACCCAUAUUUUUGUCUUGCACCAGAAGUCAUCAAUAGGCUAUUCAGUUACUUGGUUUGGUUGCAAAUGCCUACUGUUGGAUUCAGGCCAUUGGCAUAUGUCACUAUUGAUCAGGUCAAUUACGCAUAAUAGCUGACUAGGGUC
rnacentral:lncRNA from 1 species